CCUCCGACAUCUCUUUUUUCUCUUUGGUUAUAUACACAAUAGCCAACUUGAAGGAGAGACAGCAUUUACCGGAAUAAAAAGAUCCGAAAAUGAACUAACAGUUGAUGCCACAUUGACCAUUAGCGGCAGCUUUUGUAGCUUCUGAGGUGAAGGGGUCGAUACGCACCCACAGCAAUGAGAAGAUGGAAGCAAGAAGUAUAGACCACACGAUGACAAUUGUAGGGGUACGAUUUUGACGACCCACCAAACCUUUCAAGAAAGGAUACAAAUGAGCAAUCACCCAGAUGGCAAAGAAAAGCUUGCCAAAAAGAGGACCCCAGGAUUGGUAACCACUGUUUAUAGCAUACGACACGCCGGCCACAAUGCCCACCAGGUUGAUAAUGAGUACUGUGGUUGGAGGAAUGAGAAGUGAUGUCCAUUUGAAAACAUAAAGUUCGGCAAAAUCGCCAUCAUCAUCAGACGCCUUUGAAGUGACAGUGAAGUUGGUAUCUAUUCCAGCAAGCACUUUCAGAAGACCCUGGAAAACAGCAAAGAGAUGAGCUGAUGUCCCACCAAUGACCCAGAAUUGUUCAUUUCUCCACCAGUCUUCGAUACUGACACCACUCCACCUAAGCUCAAGUAUUCCAGUGGCAAAAAUGGAGACGAAAAGGAGAAUGAACCACAUGCUAGCAAAGUUGCUUAUCUGCAAAAAGAUUGGAGGAAGAACAUACAUCAGUGUCAGAGGAAAUAGUUUUUAGAGGGCUACAGGGGUAGAAAUCAGUUUCAAAGGAAAAAGGGAAGCUCUAGUAAUCACUUACCUCAGGAAUGAUAAAUUUUCCUGUCAGAAGGCAAAAGGCAGGAAGCAUACAAUAAGCAAGCAAAGGAAUAGAGGUGAGGGGGUAAACAAUGGUGUUAAUGUAUGCCAGUCUCUCCAGAAGCCUCAAUCUUCCUUUGUAACCAUACCAUAUGGGGCAAUGUCUACUCAGCAAAAUCUCAAUAGAACCCAAGGCCCAUCGAAGCACUUGGUUCAGACGAUCAGAAAGAUUGAUAGGAGCAGAUCCCUUAAAUGCUGGACGAGGAGGCAUGCAAUAGAUUGAUAUCCACCCACGAGCAUGCAUCUUAAAACCAGUCAAAAUAUCUUCUGUAACAGAACCAUAAAUCCAUCCAAUCUAGUGACAAGAGGGAAAAAAAAAAAAAGGGUUAACACAUAUAAAAAGGGAAACCAGGUAAGGGCACUACUAAAGGCCAUGAUACUUCACAACUGACCUCCUUGCCCCAUUCAGUCUUGUCCUCGUAUCCACAACUAAUAACAUGGAUUGCUUCUUUUAAAAGUGUUGCAGGAUUGGUUGAUGGUGGAAUGCCUCCUUGUUCCAUGAAGGUAGCAGCAAUAAAUACCGGGGACUGACCAAAUCGCUUCUCUAGUCUCUUCUGAGACAUGAGAAGAGAUCUUUCUUCCUCAUAUCCUGCAGAAAAUAAUAAAUGAAAUUGAGACCAGUCAGACCAUGGGCAAUACUUUUAUACAAACUGCAUGAUCUUGAAUAAUGUUGAUUCUGGAAAAAUAUGAUAUAAUAAAAAUUUUAAGACAGCCACGCUGAAAAGGGAAGAACCCACACUGUAUCAUAUGCAAUAUAGAAUGAUAGGAUCUAGUACUAUAUUAGAGAUAAAAAUCAGAAAGUAAUAGAGUAGUUUCGACCAAAAGCCCACCUUCUACACCCUCCUCAAUGUCUUCCAUAUUGAAAAUAGGGAUGGUCGAUUCAGUUCUCUUAGCUGCCCUCUUCUUGUCAAUGUAUUUUUUAUUCCCACUCUUUCCCUUCUUUCUUGAACCACAACAACUCUUAACAAUAAUAUUUGGUUCCAAAUCUGCUUCUGUCAGAACCGGAUCAUACCCAUAUAGAGCUUGCCUGUUGAAACAGCAACCAGUUCCCACAUAGACAGGACCUUGGAUGCCAUCUAACCCUUUCAAGUUAAUCUGCAAAAUACAAGCACAAAAUGAACUACCAUCCCCCGUUAACUAGUAAUUUGAAACAAGUUCUAUAAUGAAGCCAAAUUAACGGGUCAUACAUCAAAGAACACAAUAUUCCUAUUGGCAUAUCGAUCGUGCAAGUCAAUGCCAUCAAAACGUUGAGGGAACUGCACAUAGCACGUCUUCCUUCCAUAGGCAGGAUCCAUCAUGAAACACAUUGCUUCUUUAAGAGCUUUACUGUUAUUGAAGUAGUGAUCACAAUCGACAUUCAACAAAUAUGCCCCAUUGGUAAGAACAGCUGAAACUCGAAUCUGAGGAUCAAAAGAUGCCCAGGUUAGAAAAUGAAACAGACAAUCGCCCUACCAAGUUGCAAGGGCAGAAGGUCUAAAACGAUUUUCCUGACAAAAAACUGGCCCAUAUGUCUACACGACACAUUCCUUAGUAAACAAUAUCCAGCAAAGGAACCAAGGAAGGAUUAUUGGAACCAAGGCAGGAUUAUUGCCAAGGUAUGCUCUAAAACACUGUGGUUACAUGUAGUCCCCGAAAAUGACCAGAGAACAUCAGUGGCUGCUUAAGAGAUACAUAGUGAAAUUGAAAAAGGGCAGAGAAUUGCAUACCAAAGCAUUCAUGGCUCCAGCUUUCUUGUGGUGUUGGAAGCCAGGUCGCUUCUCACGAGAAACAUAGAUAAGGCGAGGUAGCUCAUUUCCAUCAGUAUCAAGCCCCCCACUAUGACCUAGAAACACCUGUUGUUCAACAAAAUUACAUUAGAAAAUAGAAAGAACCAUGAUAGUAAGUAAUCACAGAACCAACUUUACUGGAAUGCAACUCAGUUGAAGGAUAAUACCUGUAUCAUUCCUGGAUGAUCUCUUGGGUUAUUUCCAGGCCAUGGUGUUCCAUCCUGCAUUGUCCAACCUUCUUCAGGCAUUUUCUGAGCUUUGGCAACAAGGGCAUUGAUCCGCACCUUGAAUUCUUCAUAUUCUCUCUGUCAAAAGAAAAUUUCACCUUUCUCAAUGUUAGAAAAUGUGACAUCUUUUUCCCAUUUAAUAGGAAAUAGUGAGUGGAAGAAACAUUUUUUUAGAUUUUAUUUUCUCACGUUCUAAAAAUUUUCAUUGUACUUGGGUUGGAACCCACUUAGGCCUAUUGCGGAAUUCUUUCUUCAGUUUUUUAUUUACUUAUUUAUGCAGUGUCUAACUGCAAAAAAAUAUACGAAGGUAUGGACAGUUUCAAGCAAAGCUUACCAAGAAAUACCCACAAAAAGGACAGGAAAUCAUUUUAAGGUCUAUUGUAAAUUAAUAAAUAUCUUAAUAGGUCCAGGAAUCAAUGUUUAAGAAGGCACACAUAAGCAUAAUUAGGCAUCUUUACACCGACCUUCAUUGCACGACGCUCCUUGACAAAAGAAGGCUUUAUCUUGUCCUUUAGAUAAUCAAUCUUUUGAGCAAAAUAAAACUCAGGAGCUCUAGGCUCUAUACUGUGCUUCUUGCAGAAAGGCACCCACUUCCUUGCAAACUCUGCAGUUUCAGAGAGGGCUUCAAAAGUCAGCAUAGCUGAACCAUCAUCAGAAACAUAGCAAGCUACUUUGUCCACAGGGUAAUCCACCGCAAGGAUUGACAAGACAGUGUUCGCUGUGAUAAGCGGAGGCUCUUUGAGUGGAUCCACUGUACUGACAAAAACAUCUACAGGGGAUAGCUGUGAUGGUUCCCCAUCCCGGUCAUAUCUAGAAAACAGAGCCAACCAAUAUUAAUGUUAUGAUAACAGACAACAGCACAAAAAAUAUACAUAGGCAGACAAGAGCAAAGGAUUUUUUCAGCCAAAUAUGAAACAAACCAUCAGCGAGGUAAUAGAACUGACCUCAAAGCUAGCCUGUCAAGGUAGGUCUCACGAUUAAUGGGAUACCAUUUUGGAAACUGAUCUAGAAGCCAAGAUAAAGCAAACCAAAUCUCACAGAUAACAGAAGUUAGCCACAAUGGAUAUGCAUCUUUCACUGGAUGUGUUGCACGAUAUUGCAAGAAAAAGCCCAAAAUGAUGAGACGGAGAAUGAUGACAACACGAUAAGGGGUCAGGUGAGACGAAGAAAUAGGCACCACACGACUCAAAGGUUGACGAGCAUCAUCAGCCCUGUGGAACAAGAACCAUCAAACUUCAAAAUCAAAUGCAUAGAUGACAUCAACUGAGUAAAAAAUCAUUCCAAUUAUGACUACAAAGUCAAAAGGAAUGGACACAACUUGCAUCUAGAGAUAGAAAUAUAAAAAAAGUGACAAUACUCCAAAUUAAAAUUUGACCAAAAAAUUAAGUAUGAAAAAACAAAAUUAAAGAUUGAAAAAAUAAACUUAAUGUAACUUAUAUGGUCAUUUAGAUAUAUAAAAACACUCAAUGGAACAUGGUAAACUAAUUUAAAUUCUAUUCCAGACAAGAUAAGCUCACAUUUGCAAUUCAUCCCCAUUCGAACCAGUUCCUUCUAUAUCUCCCUUCCCUUCAGGGUAUCUAUUGUUCAUAUGCAUCACAUUUUUCUCCUGUUUGAGUUUCCAACUUUCAACCCUUUCCUUCCAAUCAACAUUCCCAAGGCCAUAAGAAUUCAAGUCCUUUGUUGGAUCCACAAUUCUCACCGGGACUACAAGAACAGAUGACAUAUAAUUGAGAUAAUAAACACUUCAAAAAGGGGGAAAAGAAAAAUCUCGUAAACAAACCCAAUGACUUAAUUACCUGGUUGCCUUGGGUCAACAUAAGGAGAAGAACUAACAUUCUUUUCAGAAGGACCCAAAGGACCUGAUGUCGUUCGCACCGAUCGAUUGUCCGGUGUAGCAAUUUCUCCAGAAACCUGAAAAUGUUGGCCUAUCAGUUAGAAAAAUGACCAUUUAAGUAGCAGAAAUCAUAAAUCUCAUGGUAUUAAUCAGCAGAGAAUAUAUUAGCAAAGCUAGUCACUUCCCCAAAUACAAAAGGCUUUUCUUAUGAUUUAACCAAACCAUGUUGGGCUAUACAUGAGAAUUAAAAGGCUGAUGAUAGCAAGAUUGCAAUGCUACAAAACCAAGCAAGAAUGAAAUGAUUUUGCCAAUUAAAUCUAAGUAGGAGAAACCAUAAUGUAUGACUUGAGUUUUCCAACUUUGAAACGGAAACUCAGGAAUUGAACAGCACAGCUUGAUCACCAAGUAGAUAGAUGAAAGGGUACUAAAAGAUGAAACAGAUAAUCGCAUCUUUGCAAACUCCAUAACAUGAAUAGGUACAGAAGCACAUAAAACGCCUACCGUAUGGCCAUUGGUUAGAAGAGGGAUUGGUUGUUGAGAUUCAUGUCUCGAGGAUGAAGAAAGAUCCACAUCUUCACCCUGCCAUUGCCUCCUAGCCUUACUGAGUCCUUGAGCAUAAUCAAACUCAUUCUCCAAGUCAUCAACAUCUUCCUCAUCAUCAUCUCCCUCCACUCUAGGACUCCCUGAAAUAUUCAGAAAUUACUUACUUCACACAUGAUAUAAAAAUCUUAGAAGCCAAAUCAUAAAACGAAAUUCCUAAGAAAACAAAAAAACCUUUAUGCCUCUUGUAUCUAGUCUUGCACUGGGGACAACACUGAGUCCCAUCUUUCCGUUCAUACUCAUAACAAGGCCGGCAAACUGGGAAGGCACACUCAUUGCAAGCAACGAACACAUCACCGGCAGCACCAACUCCAACAUUAUCACCACAGAUCUGACAUGUCUGCCCAUUCAAAUUCUUUAGCGGUUUGGGCUGCAUUCAGAAAGGACAAUUAACGCAGUUAGAAAUCUUCUGAAAAUUUGCAGUUGAACCAAAUAAAACCAUAUGCUUAAAUAUAAAACCAAAUAGCCACAGCAAAUCAUCGAAUGACCAGACUCUACAGAUGAGUGUCUAGAAUAAAAAUCAGAACCAAAUCUCAAGAUCUGAUUAUGUUCACUAACCAAUCAUUCAAUUCCUCAGUCAAUAAGCUUCAAAGUAAAGAAUUGAAUUUACUUUCACUCAAAUGACCGUUAGAUCUUAACAACUAUGAACUUUUUAAGUCCUUUUCUAUGAUAACAAAACUCAGAUCUUAACAUCACACUAUUAGAAUAAGUAAAAAAUGAUAAAAGAAAAAUCAAACUAGAAUAAUGAAAUAAGAAAUGAGACAAACCCCACUAUCAGAAUCAUGGCGAAUCCGAACCAACUGGUUAGUCCGGUGAGAACCGGCCACCAUUCCAGCACUUGCUUCCAUUAUAUUGUUAUUACAGAUCAAAAGGGAAGGGUAUUAAAUGAAAAAUAUAGAUAUUAAGAGAAGUGAGAAAAAGCUGUCGGCAAUUUCUCCCCUUCAACAAGCCGUCUCCAUCUUCCCCAUACUCAUUCCAGCUAUUGUGUGGGCUUAAUGGGUUGUCCCUUUUAUCACUUAUUUUUUUCUAAUUAUUUAGUAUUUUAUUAUUUUCUAUGAUGUAACAAAUUUUACCGGGUGAACCAGUUGCUAUCUCCCUCCCCCUACUACCUAACACUGCUCGGCUUUGCUGAUUUUGUCAUUACGGCUCGGCUGCCUCAGCUUUAUAGCCUCCUUUGACUUUUUAAUUAAAAACUUCUUUAUUACAUUUAAUUUCAAUGAUAAAUUAGGGUAAAUUAUACAUAAAAGUCCUUUUUUUUUAAAUUUAUCGAAAUUGCCCGGUAUUUUAUUAUUUACCGGAAUGGGCCAUUUUCCCCGAAAUUACGUCCACGUCAGUGCGAUGUCAGGGGAUGUGUCAGCAAAUCGCGUUCACGUCAGCGCGAUUACUUAUGUGGCAACAAAUCGCGUCCACGUAAGCGCGAUUUGCUGACGUGGAAGUAAUAAUUCAUUAACAGUUUGUGUUUUUUAGCUUGGAAAACUUUGAAAGGUCAUAACUUUUGGCUCGGUUGUCUGAUUGAGACGAUUUUUUUUUCGAAUAACUUUUCGUGAUCUACGCGCUGACAAACAACCGAAGGUGGUUUGCCGCAGUUUUCGUCGAAAAAGAUCCUUUUUUACCUCUAAAUUUUGAUUUUUUCGGUUUAAAAUUGAAUUUUGAAACAUUCAAAUCAUUAUUUUCCUUAUUUAUUUGAAGUAAACACCGGAUUUUUUUUACAGAAUUGUUGUAUUAUUUUUUCUGAUUUGACACGUGUAUGGAAUAGGUCCGAUAAAUCGUUAGAACGUAAAUAAUAUAAUUAAGAUAAUAACAGUAUUUUUAUAAUAUGUUAAUUAAUUAGUUUAGCUUAGUUGGUUAAUAUGCUUGCUUUUUUCCCUUAGUACCUUGGUUCAAAUCUUAUUGUCAAUAAAUUUGAAUCUUUUUUGUACUUGUUGCAUUUAUUUUUUUAAUCAAUUAACUCUUCAAUACUAUAUUAAUAUAUAUUAUUAGUACAAUAGUAUACACGGAUUGACAAUUUGAGCUACAAUAUUAUGAAUAUUAACUACAAUACAUAAUUUGAGCUACAUAUUACAGUAAUACAUUAAUAUGUAUUAUUAGGAGCAAAAUACUAAAAAAAGGGGCAAAUUACACAUAAAAGUCCUAUUUUUUUAAAAUUUACGCUGACGUGGACGCGAUUUGCUGACACGCCCCCUGACAUCGCGCUGACGUGGAUGCAAUUUCGGGGAAAAUGGCCCAUUCCGGUAAAUAAUAAAAUAUCGGGCCCAUUUCGGUAAAUUUUUAAAAAAUAGGCCUUUUUUGGUAUUUUGCCCCAUAAAUUACACCUAAGGUCAAUAAAUUAUUAAUAAAUUUAUGUUUUAAUCAUUUAACUUCAAAAAUUACAAAUGAUCCACUAAACUAUUUGAAAUUUUUCAUUUAAGUCACUAAACUGUUCAUAAGUUUUAAUUUAAGUCACUGAGCCACUAAGGGUUUUUUUUUUUUUUAAAUCUGGAUAGCAAGUUCCAAACGUGAAUCGACGAUUGGUAUGACGAAUCUAUACCCAUCACAAGUAGAAAAAUAUACCUUAGAUUUAAAUCGAUCUGACAGUUAAUGUUAAAAACCGAAUAAGAAAGUUGUUUAGAUUUUGGUUCACAAAUAUAUGACAUUCAAAGAUAUUUCAUGAAUUUUUUUUAACUAUAGAAGAAAAAGGGAAUGAGAACUUUUAAUUGGUGCAGGCGGUGCAAACAGAAAAUGCCAUACAACACUAGGUUAUGACAACUCAAUGACUUAAAUGAAAACUUUCAAAUAGUUCAGUGACCAUUUUGUAACUUUUUAAAGUUAUGUGACCAAAACAUAAACUUAUUAAUAGUUUAAUGACUUUGGGUGUAGUUUACCUUAAUCUCAAAUAUGUACAAAAUAUGAUAUUCAUAGAUGUUUUUAACCAACUAGUGUUGGACAACGAUAAGGCAUAUUGCAGUCUCGUGAAGAGAGCUUGGGUUCGAAUCUUGGAAACAACAUUGUUAAGAGGAGUAACUAUGAACUCCAAAAAAGAUUAAUCUUCAUAGACCAUAUAACAAACAUGAUAGCUUCAACUUGUAAAAAUUAAAACCUAAAUUAUAAACACUAAUUAUAAAAAAUCAAAAUUAAACCUGAACACUAAAUCGAAUAAAUUUAUGUUGUAAAAAGAGUAAACAUAAACAUGUAAAUCAUGUAAAAAAAUUGUAGUAAGUAAUUUGUAGAAAUUAAAACAUAAAUUAGAGAUCAAAUUGAUAUAACUGAAAAAUGCGUAGGACUUAAAAAUAAAAUUAAUCUAAAUAGAAUUAAAUUUUGAAUAAAUCAUAUAAUAAUUUUAAAAUUAGCCUUAAAAGUAAAAUUUAAAAAGCCUCUUAAAAAGUGCGUUCCUUGGUUACCAAAAAAAAGUGUAUUCCUAUAAUAUAAUAUGUAUGAUUUCAUAGGUAACAAUUUUACAUGUUGUAAUUUCUUUUUUUUUUUAAUUUUAUUUUUCUGAAAAAGAAUUUAUUUUCUACAGUUAUUCUCGUAUUUUUAUUAGCAAAUCUAAUAGAUGAUUUAUUAUUAGUCGUGAACAAAUUAAAGAAUAGGAUUAUAGAUAUUCCAAACCCUCGUGUAAUUUACAAUUAUAUAGUUUAUCAUUUGUAAUUUAAAAAUUUAUAUUUAGUUAUCUUUUAUAUGCUUACAAACCAAAGAUAUAUGAGAUAAUUCAUCUAUAUUAAUUUACACUCAGAACUAGCCGUUUAGCUUAGCCACACGGCUCUUCACCCCUUUUUACUAUUUGCUUACCAACCCGGUAAUAUUGUUACACGUGUUCAGCUGACACUUAACCACUUUCCUUCACGGAAAUGGACAACUUACACAUUAUACAACGUUUUUCCUUGCUGGCAAUAGCCUGUUCUUAAAAGUACCGGUUAUUGCCGGUACUCCGCAUCUGCCACUCCUUUGCCUGUCGGUGGACUCAAUAGUCUAUACUCCUCCAAGUUCUUAAUUUUACAGGAUUUCAACUCAUUCCGAAUUUACAAAUAUACCCUCUACCUUAUGGUGCGAGAAGUGUUUUUUUUUUCUGUUAAACUCACAGUGGAAUUAUUUUCAACUUUUUUCUAAUUUAAUAAUUUUUUUUUAAAUUUCAUUGAUGAAAGUAUUUUGAUUAAUUGAAUCAAUUAAUAUUUUAUUUUAUUUUUUCAUAAACAAUUCUAACAAACCAUUAGAAUUUAAAAUAAUAUAAAGAAAAAUACAAGUCAAGACAGCCAAUGUUGGGGCUUUCACAAAAGCAAAUUAGUGAAAAUAGUAACUAGAAAUAUGCCAGUAAUAAAUAACUACGGUACUAUGUUUCAUCAUUUGGUUCUUGUGAUUUGAGAACUGAUGGUAUUUUUUCUUUCAAAACACCACACACAUAAAAGUAAAACACAAGUAUUUAACAACAAUCAUAACUGGUGCUCAUUGAAAAUUAUUACUAACAACAAAAUACAUCAAUGAAAGUAAGUUACAAAGAAUUUCCCAGUUUACUCUAAAAAAAAAAAUUCCCAGUCUAAAUACCAUCCUCAAGAAGUCAAAAUUGCAAGAAUCAUACCUCUUUCAAUGAACAGUAACCCCAAAAUCUGUUCAUGCACAACGUAUCUUCAAGGGUAUAAGGAAACAGGAAGCAUGAACCAAUGAAAAUCUAAAGAUCACCAAAAGCUUGAACUCGAAUGAUCCGAUUAUUAUAGGUAUUCUCCCAGUUCUAUAGUUAGAAAACCAACCAAUUAUAGAACACAGGCAUGGAAUGUUAAACAUACUGUUAAUUACAUUUAACAUGCCACAAUUGGAUGACAGCCCAAACUAUAUUAUUCAAUGAGCUGAAUGGUUAUUUCAUCACCAAUAGUCUCCACAAGAACAAAGACCAUCUUUAAAAUGAUGGAACCGAUUAGCAUCCCUAACCACGAUGACUCUCUCAGUGAUCUUGGAUAUAAAUUUAGUGGCAGUAUGACAAUCUACACAAACUCGUAGAUUCUUGAAAAUUCUAAUUUCAGUUCCAGGGUCUGUAGCAAUAAGACCAAAAGCAAUGGCUAAUUUCUCACUGUGAACAUUUAUCAUUAGUUCCUUCUCUUCCUCUUCUACAUCAUGCAAUGCGGUAUCAAUCUCAGUCUGAAACCCUGCCUCCUUCAUUUUCCUUAUUAAUUUUUCUAGCAUUGCAUAGAUUGCUGAUGCUUGAGGAUGGGACUGAUCACCAGAUGUAAAGACAUGUGGAGUUUCACUGAUCUCAAUUAAAGUGCAUCCAGGAGUCUUUGCCAACUUCCUUUUCUUAACAUUUUGCCGGACCGAAGCAGCCAGUCGAUAGUUCCUCUCAACUGAGUAUAAAUUUGACAGUAAAACAUAAUAUCCUACACUUUCAGGAUCCAAUUCAAAUAGCUUUUCAGAAGCCACACGAGCAAUCUUUUUAUCCUUGUGGAUCACACAAGCACCAAGCAAUGCACCCCAUUCAGCAGCCCCUGGCUCAACUGGCAUUUCCUUUAUAAACUUUAAGGCCUUUUCUAGUUGGCCGGCUCGGCCAAGGAUGUCAACCAUGCAGGCAUAAUGUUCAGGUAACGGCUUAUAGUGAUAAUCAAGGAUCAUAGACUGGAAUAUUUUUUCUCCUUCUUCCACCAAGCCAGCAUGACUGCAAGCAUAUAAGAGAGAAAGAAAUGUCACACCAUUUGGUGUAACCCCAGAAUGUGACAUCUCAGAGAAGAGCUUUAGUGCAUCCUGGCCCUGGCCAUGAAGACCAUAACCUGAAAUCAUUGCAUUCCAAGUCACCACAUUCUUCCCCACCAUCAAGUCAAACAAUUCUCGAGCCUCGCUAAUGCCACCACAUUUUGCAUACAUAUCAAUUAAAGCAGUUGAGACAUAUAUGUUAGACUCAAAAUUCUUGCUUUUAACUAGGCUAUGUACCCAUUUCCCCAGACUAAGAGUUCCAAGCUGAGCACAAGCUGAAAGAAUGCUUGUAACCGUGACAGGGUUGGGACUAACUUUGGAUCUCUGCAUUUCUUGAAAAAGAGAUAUUGCUGCUUCGGUCAAUCCAUUUUGGGUGUACCCUGAGAUCAUAGCAUUCCAAGAGGCUGGUGUUUUCUCAAAAGACUCGUCGAAAAGCAGCCGUGCAGAUUUAAUCUCAUUUAGUCUGCUAUAAACAGUAGUUAAUGCUGUUGAAACAGAAGGUUGUGAGAGAAUACCAGAUUUCACACAGAAACCAUGAAUACAGUCAGUAAGACUUAAAUAACCAAAAGGAUGAAAGACAGGAAUCAACCCCACAAUUGAGCUUGAAUUGACCUUUUCCCCGGAACCAAGGAGUUGUUUAAAGAGCCUUACUGAACACUCACUCUCACCAUUGCUAGUAUACCCCGAAAUCAUUGCAUUAUAAGAAACCAAAUCUGGUCUGCGUAUCUCUCCAAACAAUAACUUAGCUGCCUCAAUGUCCCCACAUUUUGAAUACAAUGAAAUAAAUCCGGUAAGCACAUGAACAUACGAAUGAAACCCCAGUUUUAUAGCUAAACACUGAACCUCCAUUCCCAAAGUCAAUUCUUGCAGCUCAGCCAAAGCCGGUAAAAUAGCUGCCACAGUGGUUGAAUCCAAAGGAAUCCCACCAUCUUUAAGCAUACGCUCAAACACCCAAACCGCAUCAUCAAAACAACAAUUUCUAACCAACCCAGAAAUCAUAGAAUUCCACGACACUGUAUCUCUUACAGGCAUUUUAUCAAACACCUUUCGCGCCAAGUCAAUCCGCCAAUUCUUUAAGUAAAAAUCAACAACGGCAGUGCCCACAAACAAAUCCGAUCCAUACCCAUCAACAACCGCAUGUUGAUGUAACAAAAUCCCCACUUUCUCAUCCGAAAGGGUUGAAGCAGAUGCGAUAGCGAAAGCGUAAGUGAAGUUAUCAGGCUUGAGAUGAGUGCAUUUCCUCAAAUGGGUGUAGAGCGAAAUGGAAUGGGCGUUAGAGAAGCCUUUGAUGAGGACAUUGAAAAGGAAGAGAUCGGGGUUAGGGAUGGAGAGGAAUAGGUGACGUGCGUAGGAGGUGGCCUUGAGGUCGAAGAGCCUGUGAGUGAGUUUAGUAAUGGUGGAGAUAUCAUUUUGGAAGUCAUUAAGGAUGAUCUGAGCGUGGGUUUGGGUGAGAUGAGAAAGGGUUGUGGAUUUCUUGAGUAGGUUGAGGAAAAAGUUUCGACUUCCUGUGGGGGAGUAAGUGCUUGUUAUUGCGGACUUCAUUAACAUCUGCUUUACUAUGCAAACCAAGAGUCGAACUCUCUCUCGCUUUGAAUCAUACCAGAGGUAAAAUGGCGGGAAACAGAGAGCAAUGGCAAAUCCUGAUAAUUUUAUUGAAUCUGUUGAUUUUGUGAAUAAAAUUUUAUAAAAUUUCUAAUAUUUAAUAUUAAAAAUGAUAGAUAAAAGAUAACUAAUAAAAAAAAUAAAAGCAUAAUGGUCUUAACGAUUAAAAUGAAUAUUAUUAUCAAUCCAUUAAUGUGUGAAUUCGAGUAUAUUGAAAUGUAUUAUUCUCAUCAAUGUUAUGGGAAGUUAUAGUAUAGAUAUAAUCAGAACCUAUAGUUUUAACUGUUUGAAACUUUUUUUAAGUUAAAAUUAACUCACGACCUUUUAAAAAAAAUAAAUUUAGCCAUUAAUAUUUUAAAAAUAGUCACACUAUAUUUUUAACAUAAACAUCAAUUAAAACAUUAAAUUUUUAAAUACCUCAUCCAGCAUGUCAAUUUGUGUGUAUUUUAUGGUUUUUUUUUAAUUCUUAUGAAUAUUUUAUAAUUUUUAAAUUAUUUGUUGAUGUGUAAUAUAAAAUAAAAAAUCUAAUGUCAGAAUGAAGUACACGAGGAGUGUUAUGUUGGUUGCCAUUCCAAUAUCAUUAAAAAAUAAUGUAUUAGUUAACAUUUUCAUUUAAAAAAAUUAUUUGACUCUUUUUAAAAUGUUAAUGAUCAAAAUUAACACAAUAAAAGAAUAAGGGCUAAAUUGGCAAAGAAAAUGUAAUAUUGAGGGUUAAAUUUAUUAUUAUACUAAAAUUAAAUUCAAUAGAAAAAUUGAAAAUUAUAUAAAUUGACAUUUAUGUUUAGAGUAUGAUACGAGAAUAUCUUUUAUUUGAGUAACCGUACUUUUGAAUGGUAGCGAUUCUUGAGACUAUCUCUAAUGGUGGUGAUGGUCGGACAAUCAAAAAAAAAUUCGGCCUGGUGAAUUGGAAUCACCGGAUUUGGGGGACAUUAUUACAUGUUUUAUUUCUCAUUUAAACUUUUUCUUGUAGAUUAAAAAAUACUCAGUGAAUGACGUAACUGAUUUCUUGUUUUAAGCAACUCAUAAAUGGAAUUGGCAUUGGGCCGACCAAGCUAUUCUUUCAACACGGGGAUUACUUAAAUUUUCAAUGGAUUUAUGUUCCUCAACACCAAAGAAAAAUAGAAGAAAAUUGGAAUGCUGUAGAGAACAAAAACAUUUAGCAAUUACACGGAAGUGAUCACAAAGUUGAGCUAUUUUCAAUUGAAUGACAAAACUUAUAGUUGGUACAAUGAAUAUAUAACUACACAAAACUUUCACUCUAAUUUUAUUCUGUCUUGUGCAUCUCCAUUCUUGUUUGUUCAUACAUCACAUACCAUAAUCUAAAAGAACCACGCAAGAUGAUUUUUUUCAACAGUUAAUGCCACACAUUGUAGUGUCUGGUCCUUUGGUUUUCAUCACAAAUGGAUCAAUUCGGACCCAAAGCAAGGAGAAGAUUGAAGCUAAUAGCACUGACCAUAUAACAACAAUGGUUGGGGUCCUGUUUUGUCUCCCCAUUAAACCUUUAAGGAAUGGAUAGAGAUGGACAAUCACCCAGAAAGAGAAGAAGAGCUUCCCAAAAAGAGGUCCCCAUGAUUGGUAUCCAUUGUUUAUGGCAUCUGAGAUGCCGGCAACGACACCGACUAAAUUGAUGAUUAAGACAGUAGUUGGAGGAAUUAGAAGGGUUGUCCAUUUGAAAGUAUACAAUUCCCCGAACUCCUCGUCAUCAGUUGCCUUGGAUGUGACAGUGAAAUUAGUGUCAAUACCAGCUAGAACUUUCAACAAGCCUUGGAUAACCGCGAACAAAUGUGCUGAAAUGCCACCGAUGACCCAAAAUUGCUCAUUCCUCCACCAUUCUUCAAUGCUUACUCCACUCCACCUUAGCUCGAGAAUACCAGUUGCAAAGAUUGAAAGAAACAAGGCAAUGAAGAAUAGACUUGCAAAGGUGCUUAUCUGUAUGAACAAGAAAAUAAGAACAUUAGCAGGUAAAACUAUUUAAACUUCAAAUGGUUGAAGGAGAGUUUGUUUAUUUACCGGUGGCAUGAUAAAUUUAUCGGUAAGUAAACAGAUUGCCGGCAGGGUACAAUAGGCGAGAAGUGGUAAAGAUGUGAAGGGGUAGAUGGUUGUGUUGACAUAUGCGAAUCGUUCAAGCCAUUUUAGCUUUCCUCCCUUGAAACCAUACCAUGCAGGGCAAUGAUGACUAAAGAAAAUUUCAACAGAACCGAGUGCCCAUCGAAGGACUUGGUUUAGUCGAUCCGAUAGAUUGAUGGGAGCUGAACCCUUGAAUGCAGGCAACUUUGGCAUGCAGUAUAUUGAUCUCCAUCCACGGCAAUGCAUCUUGAAUCCUGUUAAGAUAUCUUCUGUAAUCGAGCCGUAAAUCCAGCCAAGCUGCACGUACAAAAGAUACAUAAGUCUUGGUGUUUAAACUUGAAAAACAUUAUAAAGUUUCAAGAGGUUGGCAAUGGCAUUUUAAGUACCUCGCUUCCCCAUUCGGUUUUGUCUUCAUAACCACAACUAAUUACAUGAAUGGCUUCUUUGAGCAAAGCUGCAGGGCUUGAAGAAGGAGGGACACCACCUUGUUCCAUCAGUGUUGAAGUUACAAAAAUGGCUGAUUGUCCAAAUUUCUUUUCAAAGUUCAUGUGGGACAUCAAUAACUCCUUGUCAUCUUCGGCUGCUGUUAGUAUAUAAAAAAGAUUUUGAAGUUAGGCGAAGCGAAUAAACAAUAUAAAAAAUGUAAUGCCAUUGGUAACAACCUUCUAGGCUUAGACCAUUUGCAUUUCCACCAUCCUUAGAGUGCUUUUUGUCCUUUCUGCGGCGUCCAAAGCAAGGGCAGCAACCACAGGUUACCAUUUUCGGGCGCUUAGGUCCCUUUGGAGGUUCAUAACCAUAAAGAGCUUGCCUUCUGAAAACACACCCCGUGCCGACAUAUACAGGGCCUUGUAUACCAUCUAGACCUUUCAUGUUAAUCUGCAGAAACCAUUGAACAAGAGUUAAAAAAGUUUGAUUCAUUUAUUAGUCCUUAUAUCAUCUUAUAGUGUACAAGAACAUGCUGCACUUACAUCAAAGAAAACUGUGUUCCGAUUGGCAUAUCGAUCAUGUCUAUCAAUACCAUCGAAACGUUGAGGGAAUUGGACAUAGCAAACCUUUCUUCCAAUUUGAGGGUCCAUCAAGAAACACAUAGCCUCUCUUACAGCCUUGCUGUUAUUUAAAUAAUGGUCACAAUCCAAGUUCAACAUAAAAGGAGCAUUUGUAAGCACCCCCGAGACACGAACCUGAAAUUUUUGUAUAGAAUUAACAUAAUUAUUAUCAAAUAAAGUAGGGUCUUAGAAAGGAAGGGGAACUUGAAUGAAACAGGAGUUAGCAAAUGCUUAAGAUCUUUACAAGGGCGUUCAUGGCACCAGCUUUCUUGUGAUGCAAGAAACCUGGCCUUUUCUCUCGAGAUACAUAGACGAGACGAGGAAGCUCAUUUCCUUCGGUAUCAUGGCCUCCACUUUGACCGAGAAAUACUUGAAUCAUACCAGGGUGAUCUUUAGUAUUGUUUCCUGGCCAUGGUGUCCCAUCUUGCAUGAUCCACCCUUCUGGAGGAACCUUUUGGGCUUUGGCUACAAGUGCAUUUAUCCUAACCUUGAAUUCUUCAUAUUCUCUCUGUUAAAGCACCAUGAAAAAAUGGUUAUUUUUACAUAAACCAGCUCACUGCAACUUAAAACUCUGAACUUUUUGCAUAUAAACAGACCUUCAUAGCUCGACGCUCCUUCACGAAUGUCGGCUGGACUUUGUCUUUGAGGUAAUCUACCUUUAAAGUAAAGUACAUCUCCGGUGCUCGGGGCUCUAUAGCAAAUUUCUUACAGAACGGCACCCAUUUUCUAGCAAAUUCAGCUGUUUGAGACAAUGAUUCAAAGGUGAGCAUAGAAGCACCAUCGUCAGAAAUGUAACAAGAGAUUUUAUCCACUGGGUAGUCCAUGGCCAAGAUCGAUAGAACUGUAUUCGCUGUUACUAGAGGAGGUUCCUUCAAUGGAUCCACUGUACUGACAAAAAUAUCAACAGAAGCAAGCAUGUUGGGCUCACCUUCCCUCUCAUACCUGCAUCAAACAUUAAUUAUGAGCUCAAAUCAAUGCUACACUGUUCACUAGAACAUUGUGAAAUCUGUUUACCUGAGGGAAAGGCGAUCGAGAUACGUCUCGCGGUCAAUAGGGAACCAUUUAGGGAACUGAUCAAGGAUCCAUGAAAAGGCAAACCAGAUUUCACAGAUCACAGAAGUUAGCCAAAGCCCAAUUGCAUCAUGUACCGGGUUCAAAAUCCGAUAGCGAAGAAAGAAAGCAAGGAUAACUAGACGAGCCACAAUCACCAUACGAUAAGGAUUGAUUUUGCUCGAUGCAAUUGGCACUUUCCUUGACAAUGGCUGCCUAGCUUCAUCAAGCCUGUAAAGAAGGUUCUGCGUGAGAAGAACUCGUACAAGUUCUUUUUCACAUGGAAGCACAUAAUAGCCAUAAUUACUUACAUAGCCAUGUCAGCAUCAUAGGCAUCAUCAGGUUCAGGACCCAAAUUCCCUUGCUGCAUUUUCCAAUCAUCCAUCCUUUCUCUCCAUCCUCCCUCUUUCUUUUCAUCCCAUCUUGCACUUCCUUUGGUUUGGCAAAUAUUUAAUACAUUAUAGAUGUAAUACAAAACAAAUAUAUAUAUAUACAAGUACUUUUAGAUAAUACAAGAUUAAAAGCAUACCAGGUUCAGACAUAGGAUAUGGAUGAACUCGUUUAUUUGACAUGUGUUCCCCAUAAGCAAGAGAGCUUCCUAUUGGGAACUCCCCGCUCACCGGCCGAGAUCGAACACCAGCUAAACCGGGUGGGAUUUGCAAACCUUCAUCGUCUUCAGGGCCUCUCCCGUAGCUCAUCUUUCCAUGAAGCAUCGAUUCAGCGAUAUUUCUAUACUUGUUUUGUUCAUCAUCAAUGUUGAAUUCAUGUUCGAUAUCAUCCACAUCCUCUUCAUCUUCAUCUCCCUCCACCCUAGGACUCCCUUCACCGUACAAUCAAAACCAAAGGGGAAAUGAAAUGUGAGUUUAUUUCGAAGAAUCAAUGGCGGCUGCACCAAAGGAUGUAAAUGAGUAAAUGGCAAUACCUUUGAGACGCUUGUAUCUAGUUUUGCAUUGAGGACAUUGUUGACUCCCUUCUCUCCUUUCAUACUCAUAACAAGGCCUACAAACUGGAAAACCACACUCGUUGCAGGCCACGAAAAGAUCUCCAUCGACCGUCAACCCAAUUUCAUCACCACAAAUCUCACAAACUUGACCAUCCAAGUUCUUCAGAGGUUUAGGCUGAAAUGCACCACAAACACAAACACAAAAUCAAAACCCAUCUCAAAAAAAGGUAUAAGUGAACUGUUCCAUAAAGCUGACGUUCUUUUACCUCUUCAUGGCCAUGAAUGACAACAAGUUCAUUGCGGUUGUGAGAGCCCGCAACGAGUCCGGCGCUGGCUUCCAUUGGAGGAUAUGAAAGGAGGGAAUGAAUGAAUGAAUGAAUGAAUGAGGAACAAUACGAUGAAGAGAAGAGAUGAAAUAGAGUUUUGUUGGGAGCUGAACAUGUGCCUUAAGGGACUGUGUUCGUUUGUUGCAGAGUCUACAUUGCCUUGAAGUUAAGCUUUCCUCUGUCUUCUUUUUUUCAACUACCAUUGCCUUCCCUGCUUUUACAAGUUUCAAGCUUCAGCGACCUCCCAGCUGUCUAUUUUUCAUCAUUUCUUUUUCUUCUUUCCCGUAAUUGAAUCAUGCUUGGGUUGCCUGCCGAAUUUCCAAAGGCUUUUCCAGAUACUGUAAAUAAAUAUAUAUUUCAUUGAUCUUUUCCGAUAUCAUAAGUAUUUUCACUGAAUUACUUAGUGGUAAUGUAAAAGUAAAACUAAAAUAUCAAUUCAGAGAAGGUGAUACUAAAUUUGAUCCGUGUAGAAGCAAAACAGUCAAAAUUGAUGUGAAAGAAUAUUUUAAUAUCAUCAAAAUUCUGGUCACCGUGUAACAAUUUUCCAAGUGCAUACAACAUUUUUUUAAUUUCUAUUUUAGUCUCGAAUUAAUCUACAUUCUUCUUUUUUUAAUAUACUUUUUUUUUUUACGCUACAUGAAAUUUUAUUUUAUUUUUUGGAACAUUUCUAAGAAUAGAAGCGUAGAUGGGUUGAUCUAAAGCACCAAUUAAAUGCUGAAUCCGAUGUUAGCAUCAAAUAUGAGUAUAUAUAUAUAUAUAAAAUAACUAUUUGGGAGUAAAUAUUAAUAUUUAAAAAAUAAAAAAUCUGAAUAAAACUAUAUGUGAAUACAUGUUAAAUAUUAGUAUUUUCUUUUAAAUAAAAAUUUCUCAAUAAAAUAGUCAAGAUCAUGAAUAACGAAAACUAGUUAUAUCAUUACACAAAAUAAAAAUUUUUAGCAUGAUUAAUAUUGUAUCAAAAGUUUUUUUUAUAUAUUUAUAUCAAUAUAUAUUAAUAUUUGCAUUUGUUCCGAACCUAAAUUACAUAAAUUAUAAUCAUGGUAUUAAAAUUAGUAUUAUAAUUAAUAAUAAAUUUUAAUAUCUAAAAAUAUCUUUUAAAUAACCUUAAAUAAUUUUCUUCAAAAGAGAAUUCGUAUACAGGUACAUCGUAGUUAGACCAAUUAAAAGCAUUUGAUGUUGUUGAAAGGAGAAUUCAAAUACAAGCAAUAUUGGAAUAAGAGACCCCCCGAAACUAUACAAUACAAUAAAAUAAAUUUAAUAAAUAUAUAUAUAUAGCUUUAUUUGGUGGUGAAAUGGUGAUAAAGAGAAGAAGAAGAAGAACGUGAGAAGCAUGCUUGAGGAUGGAAGAACUUAAAGGCAAAGCAAAAGUAGCAAUCGUUAGGUAAAGACAUGUUGAAAUCUCUCCAUCUAAUAUUGUAGACAAGCCUCCCACCGUUUUAUAUACUAACUCAGACUGCAAAUUUUAUGAUUUCUCAUUGAAUUGAACCGUUGAUGAUGCAGUCAAAAAUUUCAGCAUUGAUAUCCACCAAGAAAAUUUCCUUAAGUCUAUGAGCAAUGCAUGAAGCUCGCAAAGAUUAUCAUCAGGUGACUGCUUUGAUUGCUAGAAUCUAGCAUUUUUCAAAAUGGGUGAAAGGAAUAGCAGGGCAUGGUGGUGACUAAAGCUGUUAUAUCAAUGUUGGUUUUAUAGGUGUCAAUCAACAUGUUUAAUAUACUUUGUUUGGGUCAUGCCAACUUCUCUAAAGAAAUACACAAUAUCAACAUAAGCAGCUUUAAAAUAAAAUUAAGGUUAAAAAUAUCAAAUAAGUUUUCUGAAAAUAAUUUUAAAAUAAUUAAUUAACUAUUUGUUAUAAGUUGACCCAAUUAAGUCCUUUGAAUUAUUAUUUGUACUUAAAUUGAGCUAUUUGAAUUCAUUUUUUCAUUAGAAAUCCAUAAUGAAUCGUUAAGUGAUAAGUGACAACUUACAUGACGACUAACAUAAAAAUAUAAUUUUGGGGUAAUUGAUAUGGCAAGUUGACACGACAUGGAGGGCUUAAUUGAUUUUUUUAUUGUUUUAGGUGAGACUAAUUAAUUUUUAGUCCUAUUUAAGGAAAAAAUAAUUAAGUCUUUCAUGUCAUUAUUUUUUCUCGUCAUCUUGCUAUGUCAACUGUCUUGUCAGCAAAUGAAUUCAAUGAUUCAAUUAGACACAAAUCAUUAUUCAAAUGGUUUAAGUAGAUGCGUUUUUUGAUGAGAAUAUAAUUAAAUUUUAAUCAUUUUCAAAAGAAUUUUAAUAUGUUAACAAAAAAAAUUUAUUAACUAGUUUUUAAAAUGAAUAAUUAUAUUCUCGUUGUAUUUAAUUUUAUUACCCAACAUGAUUUUUUUAAGAACAUAUAGAAUCAAAAUAGAAUUAUUUUUUCCAUUUAAGUAAACAUGUGUAUCGUAUUUUUAUGCACAAAAAACUGACAAAUUAAAAAAAAAAAAAAAAACUUCAUUUUGUUGGUAAUCAGUAUUGUAUAGGUGAGUGUAUCGUUUUUCUAUUAAAAUUGAUACAUAUUGAUAUCAAUUUAUUUUGAUGUAUCAUUUUAAAUUUAUUAAUUUUUAAAAAAUUUAAUAUAUCAAAUGAAUUAAAUUAAAUAAAUUUAAAUAAAAUAUUAAUUGAUUAUAUAAAAAAUUCAUUAAUAAUUUUCAAAAAUAAAAUUUUAUCAUUUAAUAAAUUUAAAAUAAAUAAGAAAAAAAUUCCCACACAUUAAACCACAAAAUUAUUCACAAAUUUAUUUAAAAAAUAUACAAUAAGAUCGUCUCGUACUAAAUAUAUAAAAUAAAAGUUUAAUAAAACAUACGUAAAAUAUUUUGUGAAGCAUGUAAAAGUUUUAUUUAUUUUUUAAUUUGUUUGAUAUAUAAAUUUUUGUUUUUUUAUAAAGUUCAAAUUUUAAAUUUGAAACUUAAACACCUCCGUUUAGCAUUGCUUUUUUUGGUUGAAAAUUAAAUAGUUCCAUUUAAUAAUGAUUGCAGCCUUACACCUUACAAGUGGAAGGCUCUUUUUGACGAUACCGCAAUCAAAAUCUUAUAAUGUCAAAUUCGUAUAUUCUGAUUGUCAUCUCAUUUACUCCGCAAAAUCCAACCCUUUUGCUCUGAUUUGUUAAGCUUUUCGUAGCUUGAAUUUAAGGUUUUUUUUUUUAAAUUGUGUGAAGUUUAUUUAUCUAAAAUAUAAAUUUGUGUUAAAAAUAAUAUAAAAAACAAUAAAAUGUUAAUGAAUAAUGAUAUGUAUGAUUUGUUAAUUACAAAUAACAAAUUGUUUUAUUAUUAUUUUAUAUUGAUUUGUUAUUUUUAGUUAUUAAAAUGAAUCUUGUUUCAAAUAAUUAAAAGAAAAAAUUGAACAGUAACAUUUCAAUGAAAAAGAGAAUCUUUAUCGACAAAGUUCCAUCAAAUAAAACUAUGAUUUUUUUUUUUUGUAAAACUAAAAGUAUAACAAGGGUAAUUUACCAAUAAAAAGUCUUUUUUUUAAUUACCGAAAUGGGCCUAUUUUUUAAUUAUUUACCGGAAUGGUCAUUUUCCGGGAAAUCACGUCCACGUCAGCGCGAUGUCAGGGUACGCGUCAGGAAAUCACGUCCACGUCAGCACGAGAUGCUGACGUGGAAGGAAAUCGCGCUAUCAAGGACGCGAUUUCCUUCCACGCUAGCAUCUUGCGCUGACGUGGACGCGAUUUCGGCCCGUGCGUGAACAGUACCCAAGAGUCAAAAAAAUAAAAUACCGGGCCCAUUUUAAUAAAUUUUAAUAAUAUAGGGCUUUUUUGGUAUUUUGAAAAAAUAAAAUUUGAAUCUUUUUGUAUUUGUAUUUAUUUUUUUAAUCAAUUAACUCUUCAAUACUACAUCAAUAGCAACAAGUACAAAAAAGAUUCAAAAUUGUUACCAACAAAAUUUGAACCAAGGUACUAAGAGAAAAGAGCAAGUAUUUUAACCAACUAAGCUAAACUAAUUAAUUGACAUAUUAUAGAUAUACUGUUAUUAUCUUAAUUAUAUUACUUACGUUCUAACGAUUUAUCGGACCUAUUCCAUACACGUGUCAAAUCAGAAAAAAUAAUACAACAAUUCUGUAAAAAAAAUCCGGUGUUCACUUCAAAUAAAUAAGGAAAAUAAUGAUUUGAAUGUUUCAAAAUUCAAUUCAUAAGCAAAUAAAUGCUGUUAAUUUUGAAUAAAUAUGAAUUUUAUAUGCUGAUUUAAAUUUUAUGAAUAUAUAUAAGUGUUGGCCGAAUGUUUAAAAGCUUGGGAGCUAUGUUUACGAGAUCGAUUCGAUCGUGUAACAACCCGAUUUCGAUCCUAAUCGGAAUAGUAGUUUCGAAACCAUAAAUCCGAGUAAAAAACAAUUUUAAAUAUUAUUUUUUGUGUUUAUAAUUUGUGAAUUAAUAUGUGUGAAAAUUUUGUGAUUUAAUUUUACUGUUUGUGUGUUUAAUUUGAUAAAAGGACUAAAUCGCAUAAAGUGUGAAAGUUCUAUUUUACAAUCUAAAGGUGUCUAAAAGCUAUAGAAUAUUAAUUGGAGGUCCCUAAUGUGGAAUUAGGCCUUGUUUAGGGUGGUGGCUGGCCACAGGGACAAAGAAAAGAUUUGGUCAAUUGGUUAGGUAAAAAUUUGGUGACUAAAUUGAUUUUUAUCAUAAAAUAAAGAAAAGAGUGAUAUCAUCUUUUCUUCUCCACCUUCACCACCGAAAUUUAGCAAAAUAGGGGUUUGAGAGCUCAAAAAUUUCGGCAAGCUUUUCUCCUUACAAGUAAGUGUUUUGAUGAUCAUUCUUUGAUAAUUUUUGUACUUUUGGAACCCUUGUAGCUUGAGCUAGCUAAUGAGGGGACUAUUUUGCAAAUGGUUGGAAGUCUAGGGUUUUGCCAUGUGAGCCUUUAUGUUGGUUGCUGCAUUUUAUGGAAGAAAAUGAGUCUUAGUUGUUAAAUAAACAACUUUUGUGAAAGGUGUUACCAUGAAAACACCUAAAAGGACCUUUUUUGUAAAGGUUAUAAAAUAGGUGUUAAAUAUGUGAAAUAAAUGACAUGUAUGGACUUAUAUUACUCUAGGGAAUAUUCGGCCAAGCUAUAGUGUGGUCAAAUUUGGAAUAUUUUGUAUUUUGUGAAAUAGGGACUAAAUUGUGAAAAAUGUGAAAUGUCAGGGCAAAAGUGAAAUUUACUUAUUUAUGCGUUUUUUGACUGAAUUGAAUGAAAUUAUGUUUGAAUGAGUUUAAUUUGAAUAUGUUUAGAUCAAGAAUUAAAGAAAUCGAACUUGGAUCGGGGGAAAACGAAAGUCGUCGAUUAAUCGUUCCGUUCCGGUUUAUCGUUGUCUGAGGUAAGUUUAUAAGAAAAUAGAUGAUAUAAAUUCUAAAUAAAUAUUAGUUAUAUAUAUGCUGAAAUGAAAACAUGCAAAUAUAUAUAUGUAGCCGAAUGUGUUUAAGUUCGGGUAAUAGAAAUAGACGUGGAUGUGAUUUACCGAUAUUUAGCACUGAGUGUGCGAGUGUGGAAUAGCUAUGGCUAUACGAACAGCACUAAGUGCGCGAAACUAAAAUGACAAUGUUGAAUAACGGGCACUAAGUGUGCGAAACAAAAAUGACGAUGUCGAAUAACGGGCACUAAGUGUGCGAUAUCAAUAUCAAUUUGGUUAAAUAAGAUAGAGCACUAAUUGUGCAACGUCAUUAUAGCUUCGACAAAUUAUUUAGCACAAAUUGUGCAAAUCCAAUGAAUGAUGAAUGUGACAUAUAAGUACAUGAUAUUACAAGUAUGUAAUAGUUAAAUAAUAUAUGAUAUCAAGGUAAGUUGGUUAUUUCAAUUGUGAUACAAAUUAGAUGAUGCAAAUGAAAGUAUGUGUGUGUAUUAAAGAUUAUAUUUGGCCAAAUGGUAAGUGUAUGUGAUAUCACAAUUAUGUUUUUUUUUAUGCUUAUAUAUAUAUGAAUAUGAAUUGAAUAAUUCGGUUAUGUGAUAUUGAACUAUUAAUAACAUUGAAUUGUUUAUUUGCUUAUGACUUACUAUGUGAAAAAUGGCUUAUUUACAUGUGAAAAAUGUUUGCUAUGUUUUGUUAAUAGUGUGGUAAAUAUUUUGAUAUAUAUAUAUAUAUAAAUUCGGUUAUAGCAUAUAGGUGGAGUGAAAUUGAUAUGUAUUGUUAAUUAUUGAAACUGAUUAAGGUUUAAGUUCAUUCAGAAAAUACUAUUAUGUAUUCAUAUAAGGUGAUGUUUGAUUAUGUAUUCGGCAAUAAAUUAAGUAAUAGAUGUUAGUUAAGUUAUAAUACGUAUUAGCUAGGUAAUAGACAUGUUAUAUAUGCAUGUGGCGUACUUGACAAAUGUUUGAUUUGCAUAUGUGAGUGAUUUUAUAAUUUGGUUUAGUAAUGAAAUGAAUGAAUGGAAGCAUGUAUUGAUUGUAAAAAAAGAAGUUAAUUGUGUCCGUUUGGAAUGAUAAGUUUGCAUGAGUAUUUGGUUUAGAAAUGGUGAACAGUUGUUUAUGAAAAUAUUCGACUAUGAUUUUGAAUUUAAUUUGAUAAGUACGAAAUAUGAUAUAGGACGUGUAUAAUACUGAGCGUUCUUGGUUGAUUUGAUGGAAUGGAUUUGAUGUAUUUAGUAUAAAAGUAGAAUUUUUAACCGAAUAUAGAGGUUUUGGAUAUGAUAGAGUAUUUGAAAUUUGACAUGAAUUAUUACAUAGGAUUUAGGUAAUAUUUUAAUUCGGUCUAGGUGUUGAGUUUGGUAAUCUAUUAAAGGUAGGUUAAAUAAACGUUAUAUGAAAGAUUUAUUAAAUGACCGAUUAUGAGAUAAGUUAGCUUAGUUGUGUGAAUGAAAUUUGGAAUGAUUUAAAGCAUAUGGAAGUGGUAUGUUUUGAUUCGAUUAAGUUCAUGGAAAAUGGUCAAUGAAUGUCAAGUGAACAUUAUAAUAUUUUAUAAAUAAAUGUUGUAAUAUGUGCACUUGGUUUAUAAAGCGGAAUAUGUUUGAUUAUAAAUUAGGUAUUCGAAUAUCAUGCAUGUAAUGCUUGUAUAUUUUGAAUAAUAUAUAUUUUUAAGUAAAGUAGUUUAACUUUGAACCAUGAAAUGUAAUGAAUGCUUGCUUUGAGCUAUGUUCUGUACAGUAAUACCUCGUAACCCAAAUCCGGCGAUAUGGAUUAGGGGUGUUACAAUUACACUCUCCUGUAAUCGUAAAGAAUUGUAACUCCUUAGACUUGUUUGGUUUGACACAAUAUGAUUAUAUUCUCUAUCAUAUUUAGUAGUGCAAACUGUAAUUACAAAUAGGAAUUACGCAAUUAAAUAAUUUAUUAAAAAUAUUAAUUACUAUCAAAAUUACUACUAUGAUAAAAGAAAUUAUGAAUGAGUAAUAAAAAUUAAAAUCAAAUUAGCACAUGUAAUAUAUCAAUUUAAGAAAGUAAUCUAUAAUACAAUUAAUAGUAGAAAUAAAAAAAGUAAACAUCAUAUGCAAUUUUAUUUAAUUGCUUUAGCAUUCCAUAUUUGUUGGGUUAUUCCCUUUUUAGCAUUUAACAUAUGCUCAUUGAUAUCAUUUGUUAGUCUUUGACUAAACUCUUCAUCAUUCGAAUUCAAAUUUGAAUUUACAUCAUUAAAAUUAUCAAUAUCUCAUCCUUUCAUGUAGCCUUCAAAGUGUGGAUGAUUCCAAUUUCAUCUAUGAAUAAAGUUACGAAGUAUGCAACAUGUUAAUACAAUCCAAACUUUAUUUUUAUGUUAUACUAAGAUGAUGCCAAUAAGUAUUUGUUUAGAACGACAAUUGUUAUCUCAACGACAUUUUAAAGCUUAGAAUGUGUCAAAUUAAAUAUUUCGUGAGCCGUUUCUAAUGCUUGUGUCCAGCUCCAUUUUCUCAAAUGAUAUCGUACCCAUGAUAUUGUGUAAUAAAACUUUUUAUAUUCAGUUAACUAUCAUAUACUGCAAAAUAUUUAGGUUCAUAGUGUAACCAAUAUGUAGUUUUGAUUAUAAAAACUCAUAUAAACUUAAUUUAGAGAAAAUUUUAUACUAAAUUAUAACUUUUUUUUUAAACUUAAAUUAAUAUUAAAUUUUAUAACAUAUAACCUUUAUAAAAAAAAUUAAAAAGUUCCAAAUAACUCAUAAAUAAUAUAAUUUUUUACCAUAAUUUUAAAAAGUUAUUUUUUUUUAUAAAUAAGUUAUAACACUUCUUUUUUUUAAUAAACAAAAUGUAUUAUUUUAUGAUAUAUAAAAUGGACACAGAAAUAAGUUACAUUCAUUUUUUUUCUACAACUUUUACAUUAUAACAUUUUUAUAAUAUACUUUUUGACCACGACUUAUAGGAUUUAAAUAAUAUAAUUUUUUGUUAUAACUUUAUAAAAUACAUAAAUUAUUUUUUACGAUAUACUUUAUUAAGAUUUAUAAUAUAACUUUAAAAAUUUUAGAUAUAACCAUCUCAAACAUUCAUAUAUAUUCAUACUUAUAAUAUAAUUUUCACAAUUUAAACUUUAUAAAAAAAUAAAAAUUUAAAGUUAAAUUAUACAUGAGUGUUUGAAAAGUCAUAGGGUAAUUGGAGUUGGGUGUAAUUAUCUGCGUAAUUAUUCAGAUUCUUGCACACACUCUAAGAAUUGAAAAGUGUAAUUGAAGUGCUUUAAUUACAAUAAUUAUUCAAACAUGUCAUCAUUAUGUAAUUAUAAGUAAUAACACCCAAAUUCAAUUACUAGGUGGCUUUCUAAACACUACCUAAUGUGUAAAUUUAUACAUUAUUUGUUCGCCAAAAAAGAAAAACAUUAUUUCCUUUGCUAGACGUAAUAUUUUAAGCAUAUUUUAGCAGAUGAGUUAAUAAUAAGCUAACUUUGAUUUUUUUAGUAUAAAAAUAUUUCAAACACAUUUUAGCACAUGAGUUAGCAAUAAGCUAAUUUGGUUAUUUAAUUUUUAGUCACUCACAUAAUUUAUUUAUAAAAAAAAAUUUAUUUGAAGAGGUAUUGUUUUAGAAUUUCCAUCCUUUAAUUUAAAGCUUAAUUUUAUAUUAACUAUCUUCUAUUCUUUUAAUAUAAUUAUAGUUCGAAAUCAAGUUAUUUUUAAAAAAUAAGCAAUCGAUAAUAAACUAUAACUUAAGUCAAAUGUUUAAUUUUUUUAAGUCGUAUAAUAUUUUGGGUCAAAACAAGUUUUGAUAAUAUCUAUUUUUUUAACACAAUAUGUUUAAAACUAUCCAUAAUCCAUUUCUAACCCAUAAAUAGGAGAAUAAUAAGCUUCAACAAAUUCGAAUCCACGUCCUCCUGCAUAAACAAUAAUAUUCAUACUAACCGAAUUAAGACUCAAUCGGCAUUACUAUUUAUAUUUUCAUACUAGAUCUAACGUAAUAUUAUACUAUAUCGCUGCAAUUAAUGAUAGGAAAAUCAAUGAAAUUAUCAUGUAAAUAAUAUUAAAUCUUAUAUAACAUACUUAUAAACAUUAACUCAUACACAGUCAGUCAACAGGUAAUAUCAUAUCUUUAACAUUUAUAAAAAUAAAUACGAAUAAUUUUACUGUUAAUAAUGUUUAUGGCGAAAGGCCUCUUUAAAAUAAUUACAUUUAUGAAUAAAUUCAUUACAAUUAACGAUAGUAUCACGAAAAUACAUUUUGAAAAUAAAUAAGAAUAAAUAUUAAAAUUAUACAUGAACUUCGAUUUAACGUGUGAUGUUAUGCAUAAAUUUUAGUUUUACGUGGUUUUAUACAUAAAAUUUUUAUUUGAUUUAAUAUUCAUAAGUCAUUAACAACAUUAUCGAGUUAACACUAUUUUACAUUUAUAUAUUGCAUAUACAAACAAUUGUAUUAAUUUAAUAUACAAAUAAAUAUAUACAAUUAAAUCAAAAUAAAAAUUUAUUAUUUAUAAUUAUAUCUAAAUUUAAUAUUUAUCCCAGUAAAAUAACUCCACAUAUAUCAUGUAAUUAACGCUAAUUAGCAAUGGGAUGGUAGUUUUCUUUUUUAUUACAUUUAUUUCUCUUUGGAAUUUAUUAAACAAGUGGAAAAGAAAAUUUAAAUUACAAAUGAGUUUUCCCCCCCGGAGAAACAGAUAGUAAAAUAACUAGAGAACCGUAAAAUUUUAGGAGUUUUUUAAAAGUCAUCAAGUGAUUUAAUAAAAUAUAAACUAUAUUUAAAGUUGAUAAUUAUACAUUCUUUAUUAUUUAUUUUAGUAUUUUUAUAAAUUUUGUGACUGAAUUUAUGUUGGAUUUAAUAAUAUUGAAAACGUUAAAUUAUUAUUUUUUAAAUGUCUCAUAUUACAACGUAAAUUCCGACUUCGAGCAGAGGUAAGGGUAAAGUUAUCAAUUAACGCCAAAGGCAAUCUAAGGGAUAAAGACGUAAUUAUGUAUAUAAAAUAAUAAAUAUAAUUCAGAAUCAGAUGCAUAUAAAUCAAAAUAUCGACUCAAAAAAGAAAAAAGAGAAAAAAGAAGAAAAGAAAAACCCUUUCCAAAGAAGGGUUUGUUUUUCCUCAACACCGUCCUCACAUCCUUUUUCUCUUCUCUUCUUUGCGCCACCCGCAGAAGAGAGAGAGGAAAAAAGAAACUCACUUUCAUCACGUCUCUCUCUCUUAGAUAUAAAAAAUCUUACUUCCUUUUCGGGUUCUUCUUAUUCAACAUUCAGAUUCAGCGUUUUAGAUACCGCUGAGUUGUUGGUUUUUAUAUAUCGGACGGCUGAGAUUGGAUCUUACCUGAGAAAAGAAAUCGAGGUAUGCAGCAAGGUGAUCAGACAGUGUUGAGCUUAAGACCUGGUGGUGGUCGAGGGAGUAGAUUCCUUGGUGGUGGUGGUUCUUCUUCAUCGUCAUCAUCUUCUUUAUCUUUUGGUUCACUUUCUUCUGAUCUUCCACUUUUCCUUCCUCAUGGCGGUGCUCCUUCUUCCUUUUCCAUCAAGGUUAUAUGCCUGUUUUUUUUGGAUCUAGCCUUUUUGAUGUUGACUUUAGUUGCUUUUUUUUUUUAAAUAAAUUAAACUGCUAGUGUAGCAGCUAUUACGCACUACUCUUUUGAGAUUGAAUAUUUGAUAGUAGAUUUGAUUUUAUCUGAGAUAAAACAUUUACAUCUUUUGUUUUUCGUGACUUAGUUUCUAACCUUAUCCUUUUUGGUUUAGUAGCAUACUUGUAUUUUCUUUAAAUGGAAUGGCGCAGGGAGAUAUCUUUUGGGCAUUUAAAAGAGGAAGAAUGUGUUUAGCUUUGUUCUAAUUCUUGGUGGGGCACUUAGUAUGUGUACUUGACAAAGAAAAAAAAUGUAGUCCUUAGUUGGGAAUUUUUUGAGUUGAGUGCCUAAAGAACCUACAAACCCAAGUAUCUUAUAUAUAUUUUUUGAAACAAAUAUAGAUAUUCCGUUUUUUGAAGAGCAAUGCUUGUCCCAAAGUUUAUUUCAGCACACGGGCAAGUUUUUUUAGCACGCAGGAGAACAUAUGAAAUCAAUCAAAUUCAGUUGUGGAGUUUUGAAAUAUUAGAUAAUAAUAUAUAGUUCUAUAGUUUCAAAUUCUAUUUACUUGGAGAAAAUUAGCUAAUACAAUUGAGUUGAUGUUUUAAUUGUAUGGACCCUUUUUUCCCAUAAUGAGUAACUAAUUUAUCAGUUGCUUUACUGUUGUAGGCAGGAGACUCACGAUUUGAUGGGCGUGAAUGUGUGCGGUACACUAGGGACCAGCUUUUGCAGCUUAGGGAGGUAAUUGCACGAACUUGUGCUUAGUAAUACACUUAAUCUGUGCGUCAGCAGCCUAUUGUUGCAUUUUACAUCUAAAAACCAAACAGAAAACCAGUAUGCCUUUAUUUGCAUGCAAGGAAGUUCUUCAAUGUUGUUAGCAUUCUGCUUCAAUUAUAAUGAGUUAGUCAUGCAAAUAAGCUGUUCAGCAUUUUUCCUAAUUGGUUUUGGUUCUACUGAAUUGAAAGUUAGGGCAGUUUGACUUUUCGUAUAGAAUAUAUGAUUAUGUUUGCCAUCACUUUAGGCUGUAGAGGUUUCUGAGGAGAUUCUUAAAAUCAAACGAGAAAUUGAAGUGGAACUCUUUGGUGAAGAUCAGAACUGGGCUCGUGGAGAAAGCAAUGUAAGCUCUAAGUGCUUGCUUGUUUUUUUUUUUUACUUUUUAACGAUCUUAUUCUUGUAGCAACAAACCGCCAUGACAAAAUUCCUGUAUUUCCAAAUAUUACUACCAAGCAGUCAUUCUUUGUUAACAUUUGUCUAUUUUAUUAUUAUUAUCUUUUUCUAGUCAUCAAAUCAGGUUCCGACCCGUUAUACUGAGCCUGACAAUCGUGAUUGGCGCAACCGCUCAGCACAGUUUCCUUCUACUGGAGAGGAGAGGUCCUGGGAAUCACUUCGGGAUAGAGAAUCGGGAAACCGAUAUGACUCCAGACAGCCUGAAGCUAAUCAAUUUAAUCGACAAGAUCAGCCUAACCCUCAGUUCUCAAGGGCACAAAUCUCUUCUAACCAGGGGGUAAUUCUCAUAAAACGAGAUUCUUUUUGUUUUUGAGAUAUCAUUUGCCUUUUUUUCUUUUUGUUACAGGAGAUAUCACUUCUUGGGGUUGUUAGGUGGGUAUUUAAGGCAUUUUGUGACAUAUUACUUGGUCAAUGAGCUUUUUGUACGUAAAUUUACAUUGGGCAUUAGUGAUGCAUUUGCUGUUCUGCUCCACUUGACAUCUUGACCUCUAGGCAUUUAGUUCAAUCAGAGAAAAUUAAUUGAAUGAGUACACCAUUGAUUUUUUGUUUUUAAUAAUUUUUAUGUAUGAUAAUAGAUGGUUAAACAGUGUUGGUAACCUUAUAGUUAGGAUUUUUCUUUUCUAUUAUUUAUUAACUCAUCUGCUUCAUUUCCGAUGCAUUUUCUCAAUUUUUACAUAGUGAUGACAUUCUAUGGACUUUGUCACCUGCUUUGUUCAUAUUAUUUACUCCUGUAACUCUUAGGAGAAUCAGUUAUUUCCUGCAGCAAUAUAUGUCUAUAAUUUGGUUUUGGCAUUAAUAUUCCUUUCCUUUGUUGGACCAGGGAGGACCAACUCCAGCCUUGAUUAAGGCUGAGGUGCCAUGGUCAGUCAGAAGGGGUAAUCUUUCUGAGAAGGAGCGUGUCCUAAAAACUGUAAAAGGGUAAAUAUAUUGAAAAUAUGUUUCUUGCAUCUUACAUUGAAUCAUACACAUUCUAUUGAUUUUAUUGAUAAACCAUUAAUUUAAAUGGCUGGUCACAUGGGAAGAUAUUUUUUCUUUCAUAGCCAAAUUUAUCUUCUAUUGUGCAUGCAGUUAUUGUUCACAGUUUUUUAAAAUCUUGUAAAGUGGUUUUGAUAUCAUUUUAUGAUAUUGAUAGUUAAUUACUGUUUCUUGUAAAUGGUUUUGUUUUAUGUGCAGUAUAUUGAACAAGUUGACUCCUGAGAAGUAUGAUCUUUUGAAGGGCCAACUUAUUGAUUCUGGCAUCACAUCAGCUGACAUCUUGAAGGUUAUUAUUUUUGCUUUCUUGUUAUUUUUUUUACUUCACUGCACAAUGUUUUGUGCAUUCGCACUUGUUUGUACAUUCUAUUUGUAUGAAUGUAUAUAUAUGCAUACCAGCUUCAUACGUUUCACUUAAUAUUUGUGUUCUUCUAGUUACUGUAUUUGCAAGUGACAUUAGUAGUGACAUCACUGAUGGUAUCUCUAUUAUCUUUACAGGGUGUUAUUUCUUUAAUUUUUGAGAAGGCUGUUUUGGAACCCACAUUUUGCCCUAUGUAUGCUCUUUUAUGCUUUGAUCUUAAUGAUAAGCUCCCCUCAUUCCCAUCCGAUGAACCUGGUGGAAAAGAAGUUACUUUUAAGCGAGUCCUGCUGAAUACCUGCCAGGAGGCAUUUGAGGGAGCUGAUAAGCUCAGGGAAGAAGUGAGGUUGAUGACAUCUCCCGAGCAAGAGAUGGAGCGCAGGGAUAAAGAAAGGAUGGUCAAGCUCCGGACUCUUGGUAACAUUCGUUUAAUUGGUGAGCUUCUGAAGCAGAAAAUGGUACCUGAGAAGAUAGUCCAUCACAUUGUGCAGGUUAUUGCCAAUACUACGUUUCUCAUCAAUCGAACUUGAAUAAUUGGUAAUUUACUAAAAUAAGCUUUUUGCCUAUUCUGCUGGACAGGAACUUUUGGGUCAAGAUUCUAAAGCUUGCCCUGCCGAGGAGAAUGUUGAAGCCAUUUGUCAGUUCUUCAAUAUUAUUGGUAAGCAGCUUGAUGAGAGCCCAAAAUCACGGCGCAUAAAUGAUGUGUACUUCAACAGACUGAAGGAAUUGACUACAAAUCCUCAGCUUGCACCGAGACUAAGAUUUAUGGUUCGUGAUGUUCUUGAUCUGCGUGCAAACAACUGGGUUCCAAGGCGUGAGGAGGUAACUCAUAAAUGCCAUCAAAUUUUUUGUUAAGAUUAGAUACAAUGUUGAGACGUCCAUUUUAAUGGGUUUUGAUGUCCCUUUUUUGCAUUGAUUUUUGUAGGUGAAAGCCAAAACAAUUACAGAAAUCCAUUCAGAGGCUGAAAAGAAUCUUGGGCUGCGUCCAGGCGCUACUGCAAGUAUUAGAAAUAGUCGUGUUGUUUCUGUUGGUCCAAUGAGUCCUGGUCCUGGUGGUUUUCCUAUCAAUCGUCCUGGUACUGGGGGUAUGAUGCCUGGAAUGCCAGGAACUAGGAGGAUGCCUGGAAUGGAUAAUGAUAAUUGGGAGGUUCCUAGAAGCCGGCCAAUGCCAAGGGGUGAUGGACUGGGUACCCAGUCUGGAGGGCGUGGUGCCUCACCAGUAGUCAAUAAGUCAACUUCAAUGAAUCAAAGGCUAUUACCUCAAGGUAGUGGUGGCCUAAUGAGUGGUAGGACAAGUGCCCUGUUGCAGGGUAGUUCAACCCCUCCUGCUAAGCCACCCAACUCAAUUUUAGGUGCUGAGUCUGUUGCACAACCUUCUCUUUCCCCUAAACCUGCUCCGGUGGAGAAACCACUAACUCAGGCUGCAAGGCUGAAUACAGAUGAUCUUCAGAGAAAAACACGGGCAUUGUUAGAGGAAUAUUUCAGCGUUAGGCUACUAGAUGAAGCAUUACAGUGCGUGGAGGAACUAAAAUCUCCAGCAUACCACCCUGAGGUUGUUAAAGAAGCGAUCUCCAUUGCUUUGGAGAAAAGCCCACCUUGUGUUGAACCCGUUUCAAAGCUUCUGGAGUACUUGUUUAUUAAGGAAGUUCUCACAGCUAGAGACAUUGGUACUGGAUGCCUACUUUAUGGUGCCUUGUUGGAUGAUAUCGGCAUUGACUUGCCGAAAGCACCAAAUAAUUUCGGAGAAAUAAUUGGAAAACUUGUUCUGGCUGGGGGAUUAGAUUUCAAGGUGGUGAAGGAAAUCCUUAAGAAGAUGGAAGAUGACAUGUAUCAGAAAGCUGUAUUCGAUGCAACAAUGAGGAUCAUUAGCUCAGAUCCUUCGGGGAAAGCUCUCUUGGAUGCUCAGGCGAUCAACAUUGAUGCAUGUACGAGUCUAUUCUAAAUUUUGCAAUCUACUUCACGUUACUAUAUCUGUCCGACCAUCCAUCCAUCCAUCCGUAGCUUUUUAUCACCACUUCAAGAUAAUGUCCCCUGCCGGUUUUACCUGUCUUCGAGGCGAGCAGCUUGUAGUAUUUUUGAUUGAUGAAGUUAGAGCUACCUGCAAAGGACAGGUGAAAUUUUAUUGAGUUGUAUGUUUUUCUCCGGGUUGAUAGAGGUGUUUUAUUGAGAAAAAAGAAAUCCAAACAUAAAUGUCAUGUACAUUACCUUUUAGGAAAAGUGCAUGCCAAAAUUCUCGGGGAAAAUUGGUCUCCCUUCAUUUAAGGGAUCCAGUUGUUUUUUUGACACAGUUAUUUAUUUAGUUUAUUGAACUUGGUCAAGUUUUGUUCCGUCUUUAAUUGAACCCAACAUAAUUUAAAUUUCAUUUCAUAUAUUUAUCUCUAUAUAAGCAUGAAUGUUUGGAGCUGCAUUUGUCACAAUGCUUGCAUUUUAUGUUAUGUACAUAUUUGGUGUGCCAGACUGCCAGCUAAAGUGAAUUUCUUUUUUCUAUGAAAUUGUGGUUUGGUUGGUGAUUGUAUCAUGAUUUUUCAAAGACCAGCACGAAUUAUUGAGUUUUACUGAUUGGAAAUUGAUUAUUUGUUUUUGUUAAUUUUGAGCUAAUAUUAUACAAUGAAACAGUUUUAAAUGGUAACUCCCUUGCACUGGAAUUAUUAUUUUUUUUAUAAUAUAUGAAGAUAAAUGUGAAACUAGGUUUAAUUUCAAUGAAAUUAAAUAAUUGUUUAAAUCGUUUAUUUAGCCUCUAAACCUAACAAAUUUAAACUAAAUAUGGUCACAUGAAAUUGAUGAUUCUUGUAAAAUUGGUAUUGAUGAUUCUUCCAACUUUGGAAGGUUUAGGUUAAAAUAAUUUAUUUAGAUAAAUUAAAUUAAUUAAAAUAAAAGGUUGGCUUGAGCUUAUUAGUCUUAUAUAUUAUAUGAUUUGUAGCAUAAAUAAAUUAAAAAUAAUACAACUUUUUGUAAAAGAAACGUGGAACAGCUUCAAAUGAUUUUAGUUUUUUUCUUUUUCGUAUUUCAUGUUUGUUUUAUAAUUCAUAUUUGGAAUUAGUAAUCGUUCCUUUCAGCAAAAUUGAUUUCAAAGUUUGAAUUUACGUUUUCUUUUUGAGAGUAUAAUACAUCUUACCAUUACACUUAAUACUUGUUGGAAGAUUAAUAUUUAUAAGUAUGAAGUGUAUUAAUAUCAUAUAUAAAUUUGAGUCGAAUAUGACAAAACUUGAUCAUGAACACUUCUUACUGUAGGGGUGGCAAUGGAGCGAGAUAGGAGUUGAUGUAGUUAGAGACAGAUCUAGGAGGCUGAGAGGAGCCUUAACCCCUUAAAAUGAAAAAUUUUCUAUUUGAGUAUUUUAUAAUUUAUAAAAUUUUAAAUUAGUAAUGAUAAAAUUAUAUUUUGACCCCCAAAAAGAUAAAACUUUGAUUUAGACCUCUAAAAAUUAUAAAGAUAUAAACUAUUAAAAUAACAAAAUUAAAUUUUUACUAUUAUAAAAAUGUAUAAUUAAUUCCGGCCCAUCCCAAAAUUUUUGGACUUCACCUGCCCCUAAAUCAUAUUUCUAGAUCCGCCACUGAAUGUAGUUAAAUUUACCACUACUCCAUAGUUGGUGUGCUUUGAUCCACCAACUACACCGCUCCGUUAUAAAUAUGUAUUCUUAAAAAUUAUUAUUACUUUCAAAGUGUUGAUAUAUCCAUUUCUACCCCACUUCUGCUUUAACUUUCUUUUUAAUGGAAAGGCUCCGUUUAAAUUUAAUUUAUGUUAUUUUAAUAUUUUCAAUAUUUUUUAAUAAAAUAUUUAAACAUAAUUCUUCAAAUAAUUUAAACAUAAAACAUAUAAAUUUUGUGAACAUAUUAUUACAAGUUUACCCUUUUUAAUAUAUAUAAUUAAAAAGAAACCUCAUUUCUAGUUUCCCUUGUCUACAUGCAUCUCUCAUGAAUCACGCGAGUAUUGAUUGUGUCAGCGCCGUGUCCGAUUCGUGUUUGAUUUCUUUCGUUCCGUUUCCCGGCGUUUCAGACACCGGUACGAGGGUUUCCAGCAUUAGUGCUUUAAAGAUUGGAGAAUGAGUUCGAGAAAAGGAGGAUCAAAAGGGAAAGAGGUAUCUGGAGUCUCUCGUCCCAAGGUUGACCAGCUAAGCCAUGGUGUAGCGGAAAUGAACAUGGAUUCUUCACAAGAUGAUGGUGAGUGGGAAGUUAUUCAAAGAAAACCCAAGAAUACAGGUGGAAGCAGUGGUGCAAAGCCAUGGGGUUCUCAAAAUUCCAACCCUAAACCUUGGAAUGGAGGCAUGCGGGGUAAUGCUGGACCUGGAAGAGGCACCGGCGGCAAUGCUUGGGCUAAUCAUGGUGCUGAUUCUAGGAUAGCAAGUGGCCGAGGGAAUUCAAGGCCCCAAAUAGUCAACAAGAGCUUGGACAACCACCAAGUGCCUUCCAAUCCUGUCAUUCGCCCGCCUCUUGAGCAUGGUUGGAAUUGGCAGUCAAGAACUGGUUCCAAUCCAUCCAAGGGUUUUCAAGAUGGAUAUGAGAAAGACAAUGUCAACGCUGAGGCUGAAAAAGACAACGAUGUUGAUGAUAUUGAGGAUGAUUCGGAUGAUGUUGCUGCUGAUGAUUCUGACAAUGAGCUUCUAACCGAUGAAUUUGAUUCAGAUUCAAGUCAAAAGAGCCACGAGACAAGAAAGAAAAAUAGAUGGUUUAAGAAGUUUUUUGAUAGUUUAGAUAAGUUGCGCGUGGAAGAGAUCAAUGACCCAGCAAGGCAAUGGCAUUGCCCGGCUUGCCAAGGCGGUCCUGGUGCCAUUGACUGGUAUCGAGGCCUUCAGCCAUUAGGGACACAUGCGAAAACUAAAGGAUCAAAAAGGGUGAAACUCCAUCGUGAACUUGCUGAGCUCUUGGAUGAGGAAUUGCGUAGAAGGGGUACUUCAGUUAUCCCUGCAGGUGAAGCUUUUGGGAAAUGGAGGGGUUUAAAAGAUGACGAAAAAGAUCAUGAAAUAGUCUGGCCACCUAUGGUAAUCAUAAUGAAUACAAGGCUUCAACAAGAUGAUAAUGAUAAGGUACCCCGAGAACUUGUACUAUUUCUGUUUUCCAGUUAUAAUUCAAUGGAAUUUAAUUAAAUCUUUGUAAUUACCGAGGAGCUAUUUAUGGCGUUGUGUACUUCAGUGGAUUGGUAUUGGGAACCAAGAGCUGCUUGACUAUUUCAGCUCAUAUGCUGCCGUGAAGGCUCGCCAUUCAUAUGGCCCACAGGGGCAUCGUGGGAUGAGCCUUCUGAUUUUUGAGAGCACAGCAAGAGGUUAUUUAGAAGCUGAGCGUCUGCAUAAGCAUUUUGCUGAGCAAGGAACGGAUAGAGAGGCUUGGGAACACCGUCAGGUCUUAUUUUAUCCAGGUGGGACGCGCCAACUCUAUGGUUACAUGGCAAACAAGGAAGAUCUGGACAUCUUCAACCAACAUUCUCAAGGUUCUCUCCUACUGAAGACAAUGGUUAUUUGCAUGCAGGGAUAAACUGCGAGAUAACUUUAUUGCACGAAAAGUUUCUUUAUUAUUUUCUGCCGAUUCUUAUGCAUUUAAUUCACUUGUGUGUAAAUGUUAUGUUGAUUAGGAAAAUCUAAGCUCAAAUUUGAGAUGAGAUCUUAUCAAGAGAUGGUUGUUAAUCAAAUCAGGCAAAUGAGCGAGGCCAACCAGGAGCUUAUUUUUUACAAGAACAAGUUUGCUAUACAGCAAAGGCUCAAAACUGCCCUUGAAGAGUCUUUUGGUGUUGUGAGCGAAAAGCUCCGGAAGACAAUGGAGGAGAACAGGAUUGUGAGACAGAGAACCAAAAUGCAGCACGAACAGAACAAGGAAGAGGUAAUUGUUUUAGUUUCUGAUAAUUUACAUCUAAAUGCAGAUGCAAGCUAGUGGCUUUCUUCACAGAUUUGUUGCUAGAUGUAAUGGUUGUGGCGUACUAAUUACUAAUUUAUACCAUAGAACAUAACUUCAUUUUAGUAAGUUACUGGUUGAUCAUAUCUUUGCAACCAUAUUUAUCUUAACUAGCCAGGGAUGAAUAUGAAAACUUUGCUAGUAUCUUUAUAUGUUUGCUAUGCUUAUACAUCUGUGAUCUUAUUUUUGGAUAUAAAAAUUUGGUGGAGAUGAAUAUGAAAAUUUUGCAUCUCCAAGGAAAAUUCCAGGUAGCAUUUCAUUUUUAUUUAGUAGGACCAAGCAGUUUAGUGUGGCCUUAGAACUUUGAGAUGCUUUAACUCGAAAAAACGUCCAUGUCCAAACCGUCUCUUUCAGAGCAUGUUAGUGUCUUCCCUUGAACUUUUCCAUGUACUUGAUAAAUUACAUUCUAUUUGCUAUUCUCUAGUUUCUGUUUGAUGUUAACUGUUUUGUAUAUUGCUCUUCGCAGAUGGAUUUCCAAGAACAAUUCUUCAAGGAACAAAUCAAAUUUAUUCAUGAAGCAAGGGAUGAGGAGGAGGAGAAGUUUGAGAAGCUACAGCAGCAACAGCGUGAGAAGUUUGUCAAGCAAUCUACUCCUAAUACUUCAAAUACAGAGGAAUACAGGCGUAGGUAUGUAAUUUUGAUGCUAAUGUGAAUUUCCAUGUGUAAUCGGAUCGAAACAUGCUAAAAUGCUGCUACACCUUCCGUUUAUUUGUUUAUUAAUUUGUCUACAUCAAUCAUGAGAUAACCCAUUUUUCUUUCUUGUUUCAUUUGUAGGGCGGAUGAAAUUGCAAAAUUCAUAAAGCUCCAGGACGAAGAGAUGGAAGCUUUUGUGUCUGAGAGGGACAAGCUGAUUACCGUACACAAAGAGAAGAUGGCUGCAAUGAGACAGAGGCAUUGGCAGGAAGAAGUUGAGCUCGAAAAGGAGUUUGAUACGGAAUUGAGCCGUCUCAUGGAGAAGUAUACUCCUACUAUGCCUGGAAUGGACAAAUAUAUAUAUUAAAAUUGUUUUCUACAUAGAUUAAAUUUGAUUAAAAUAUGGGCGAGACUUCUGAGUUCGAUUCAAUAGCAUAUAAAACUUAAUAUUAUAAUAAUAUAAUACUAAAAUAUAAACAUUAAAAAUAUCCGUUGUCUAUUUAGAAUUUUAAUAAAAACAUAUUAAAUAAUUACAUAUUAAAUUAAAAAUAGUAUAAGUCUUUUGUAAAAAAAUAUGUGGACGAGCUUCGAAUGAUUUUAGAUUAGUCUUUUUUAUUAUAUAUAUUGGUAGUUGUUCCUCUAAAUUUACGUUUUUUCUUUGACAGUACCAUGCGUCUUACCAUUACAUUAGUGUUUAUAUAUAUGAAGUGUACCAAUACCAUAUAUAAAAUUGAGUUGAAUUUAACCGAACUUGAUUAUGAACACUUUUGGUUGUAGAGAUGGCAAUGGAAUGUGAUAUGAGUAGAGGUGAUCAUGGGUUGGCUGGGUCAGGCCUAGAUAAAAAUUUAGGCCUGUUUUUUAGGUCUGGGCUUAGCUUGGCCUAAAAUAUGGGCCUAAAAAUUUGUCUAAGCCUGGCCCAAAAGAAAAUUGUUAAGCUCGAGCUCAGCCCGGCCCAUGUUUGAUUAAAAAUAUAUAUAUUUAAUAUAUAAUUCGAAUUAAAAGUCUAAAAUAUAUAUAUUUAAUAAAAAGUAUAUUUGAUUAAAAAUAAAUAUAUAUAUUUAAUAUAUAAUUCGGGCCGAGCCCGGGCCAAAAAAGUCUUACACAAAAUGGGCCUAAUUUUUUUGCUCAAUCUCAUAUUUUGGCCCUAUAUUUUUACCCGAAUCUUUCUAUUUUUUAGGCGGGCCGUCGGGCCGGGUUGGGUAGCCCAACCCAUGAUCACCUCCAAAUAUGAGUUGAUGUAGCUAAAUCUACCACUGCUCCAUAAUCGGUUGCUUUGUUCAAUCAAAUGCACCAUUUCACUAUAAAUAUUUAACUUUAAAAAUUAUUAUCACGUUUUGCAUGUUGGAUGUAUCCAUCUCCAUCUUACUUCGUUUAAAUUUAGUUUUUGGUUCUUUAAUAUUUUUAAUCUUUUUGAUGAAAAGUAAAAUAUUUAAAUAUAAUUUUUAAAAGAAAUUAAAUUUAAAACAAAUAAAUAUUUUUGUACCAUAUUAUUUACAAUUUUAUCUUUUUAAUAUAUAUAAAGAUAAAAAAAUCGUUUCAUAUAAUAGAAUAGGGUGAAGCAAGAUAAAUAAUUAUCAUAAUUAUUUUAUAUCAAUUAUAAAAAAAAAAUCUACCAAACCCUGUACACAUUCUUUUUUAAAAGAAAAAAUUCACUUUAGAGCGGGUGAAUUCAAAAUUCAUUUACUAUCUUUAUUUAAUUAUUAUGUAUAUAAUUGAAGUAAGUAUAUUAGGUUAAUUAUAAACAUGGUAAAAAAAUAUCCUACCGAAAAGAAAAUAAAUGGCAAAAAUGAUAUAAGCGUGAUUCAAGGAUGUGUUGUUCGCCUUGUUUUGUAGACUGAAUCGAAUGGCACUGCAUGCAGCACUAUCAUUUUAAUAACAAAAUAAAAAGUAGCACUAAAAGAUUGGUGCUAAUAUCACUGCAAAAAAAAUAUAAGGUGCAAAACCAGUCAUGGAGAUGGAGCCAAAGAACGUUAUAAAAACUAUAAUAAUAAAAUAACGCAAUUCCCAUUACGCAGUUUCCCGUAAAAAUCAAUAUUCAAAACACAGCAAAUUACUGAAAUCUCCAUAGCUACAGAAGAGAAAGAGAGUAGAGCUCAGCUUCAAAAUCACUCCAUUUGUAUGAUAGGAAUUUUUUAAGUACAACAAAAGCAAACCCUACUAAUUAUAUUCCUUUUUUGUGUUUUGAUUUUCUAAUUUAAGGGAAAAGAAAAAGAAGGAAACCCGUGCUUGUGAGAAUCAGAUUCAUUGACCUACCCUCCUUGUUUUCUCUCCUUCUCUUUUCCCCCCUCUCUUUUCCAUUUUAAGGGUUCUAUUAUUAUUAUUAUUAUUAUUAUUAUUAUUAUUUGCAUUUGUUUCUCGUUUCUAUCGCUUCUUCUCUUUGGGUUCUACGAAAAAUUUGAUUUUCUGAAAAUAAGUUGGAAUUUUUAUGUGCGUGUUUGCUAAAAGUCGAACCUUUACUUCACAGUUAUUUUAUCUUAGAACAAUGAGAAAACGUAUUCAAUAACCCUGGAAAGGAAGACUAUUUUUUUCAAAUAAUAAUUCUCUUAAUUUUUUUCUUUUUUUUAUCCCAAUAAUGAGCAAUAAAGGAAUGGCGUUGUUUGAUGAUAAGAGAGAUAUGCUUUUCUCUAUAUGUGAUUUGGGUUCUCAAUGGAGUCUCGAGCCAAAUACUUCUUAUCCAGGUGGCUUAUUUGCUAGCGUUGGUCAAAUGGGAAUGGGAUUUGGGGUUUCACCUAACUCCCCAAAUCCGCGUAACGACGGAACCAAACCACCAUUUUCCGAUUUGUUUGUCAAGUAUUUACCGUUUCGGGUUAUAGAAUUACCGGAAGGUGAAGCGGCGUCGACUAAGAAGAAAAAGAAACUAGAGUUGAAACUGAAAAUCAAGAUUCCUAAUCCUUCAUUAAGGAGGUUAAUAAGCGGUGGCAUAGCUGGGGCGAUUUCAAGGACUUGUGUUGCGCCAUUGGAAACAAUAAGGACCCAUUUGAUGGUUGGGAGUAGUGGGAAUUCCACAACUGAGGUGUUUCAUAAUAUAUUGCAGAAUGAUGGGUGGAAAGGGUUGUUUAGGGGUAACCUUAUUAAUGUGAUUCGAGUUGCACCUAGCAAGGCCAUAGAGGUAAAAACUCCCUUGAAUUACAAAUGGUAUUUUUAUGAAUAUUAUCCAGUUUGUUUAUCGUUUUUGUGGUAUUGAAUAUUGCAAUGUUGGUUAAUCACUUUGCUUGGUUUUUGAGCUUUGUGAUGUUGUAUAUGCAGUAUAAAGUAUUUUGGUUCGAUAGGUAUUCUUGAAUGUGAAUGAUUCGGAUUUAACUAAAUGCGAGCCUUUCUCAUGUCUGUUAAUGUGUCUAACUGCAUUUCUUGUUUUUAUCUACUGUGGUUGUAAACUGAGUGCUGCGGUCGCUACUUUCAUAUGUAUAUUUGUUGUAUUGGUUUAUAAUUUCAUUUUAACUGUUAGGCUAUCUGUUCAAGCAAAAGGGUAGAUUGUCACCUUAACUAGAUUAAAGUGGCUGUUUUCUGAUUGGUUGGAUAAUGAAACAAAGCUUAAUUUACAUUGGAAAAUUGUGGCAACCUCUGGAAGUAACUUUGAUGUUUCAUUUUCUUACUGCUCUGUUUUUUGGACAUGUCAUCAAUAUGGAUGUUAAGGCAGCAUAACAGAAAAGAAGAAUAAGAACUCUCAUCAUAAUGAAAAUUUUAUGUAUAUACUGUUGCACCCUUCUGCUCCAUUCAAAGCCAAAUAAUUCUCACUGAAUGAUGUUUCCAUGUCUUAGUGAUGUUAUCUUCUUGAUCUUCUCAUUCUUGUCCUCGCAAGAUUGAGUAUAUAUUAGAUGUUUUGAUAAACAUCUACUUGCUGUCAAGUGUCAACUGUUUCUAUCUUGUUAAAUAUCAUCAACUGAAUGUGUAAUUGACUAAGGAUAGUCUUCUUUUAUGGUUCUUAUCAUCCUAAACAUGAACAAACUAUACAAGGAGAUGUGUGGAACCCAGGGAAGAAGACAAAGAGGAGCUGGCAGUGGCCUUGCCUCCCCCCAACAAAAAAAAUUAGAUUUGUCAUUUGGUCCCUUAAAUUUUAUGAAAUUACAUAUUAGUAUAAUGGUAAAUUUGCACAUUGUCCCCUCCUAACAUAUUAGUAUAAUGGUAAAAUUACAUAUUAGUAAAAUGGUUUUGUCCCUGGCAGAACCAUUGAAGAUGUAAUAUUUAUCAUGUAGGUUAAUAGUGUUGAGCUGUUGGCAUCAAUCUUCCAUGGUUCAAUACUCCUAACAUGAUUCAUAACUAGGUUGUAAACAAGCCUUUAUAUGCCCUUCUUCUGAAAUAUUCUUUCUGGUUCUUAUCUUCUCAAUGAUCGAAAUUUUAAACAUAUGAAAGAAGUGGAGAAUACAAUUACGGGCAUCGUUCUUCAUUUAUCACUUGUUAGUGAACAUUGCCAUCAUGAGUUUUAUGCCUCUUUUGUAGAUCACUUCUGCUACUUUGUCAUUGUUGGUUAUGCUUUACAGUUUAAUUCCUUGACUCAGUUUUAUAGUAGAACCCACGAAUGUUUUAAGCAAGCUUUUCUAAGAGUUAAUCUAUGGUUGCAUUUUUCUUCUUAUUACUAGCCACAGGGGUGUUUUCUUGUUGGCUUUUUGCAAUAAUAGUUUUGCAAGCUUUGUCCUUGUAUGCAUCACAUGAACUGAUGUCAUACAGAACUAACGGAAGGCCUCGGACAAUGAACAUGAUUUGGCUAUUGCUAAUGAUUUUUUCUGCAGCAAAAUGAUAGCAAAACAGCUUAGCUGCAUCUUUCUGCAUAUUAUGCUUCUAUGCUGUAUUCAUCUUGAAACAUAGUUGUCUUUUUUAGUCAAAUGAGAGUUGCAAUUAUUCCUGACAUAUUCAUAUAUUUAAUUUCCCAUGUACUGCAGCUAUUUGCUUUCGAUACCGUGAAUAAGACUUUGUCACUCAAACCAGGGGAAGUAUCAAAGAUUCCGAUUCCUCCCUCGUUGGUUGCAGGGGCUUGUGCUGGAGUCAGCUCAACUUUGGUGACCUAUCCUCUCGAGUUAGUUAAGACUCGACUAACUAUUGAGGUAAACACAGUCUAAAAUUUGCAAUUCACAGUUUAGAAGUUUUUGUUUUCACUUAAAUCUGGGACCUGUGUCUACUUGCAGAAGAAUAUGUAUGAUGGUAUACUCGAUGCUUUCUUGAAAAUACUGCAAAGGGAGGGCCCUGCUGAACUUUAUAGAGGUCUUGCUCCUAGUCUCAUUGGAGUUAUUCCGUAUGCUGCCACUAAUUAUUUUGCAUAUGAUACUCUACGGAAGGUUUACCGCAAAAUUUUUAAAGAGGAAAAAAUUGGGAACAUUGAAACUCUUUUAAUCGGAUCAUUAGCUGGUGCUAUUUCAAGUAGUGCAACGUUCCCGCUCGAGGUGGCACGUAAGCACAUGCAGGUUGGAGCUCUGCAUGGAAGACAGGUCUACAAGAAUGUGAUACAUGCACUUUCAAGCAUUCUUGAACAAGAAGGGAUUCAAGGUCUAUAUAAAGGUUUGGGUCCUAGUUGCAUGAAGUUAGUACCUGCUGCUGGGAUAUCUUUCAUGUGCUAUGAAGCAUGCAAGAGGAUACUGGUUGACGAAGAAGAAGAUGAAGCAUAGAGUCUCUGGUUAAAAGGAAUAAAGAACUCAUCUUUUUGGGAUUGAAGAAUGAGAUGGCAUACAUUUUAGGUUCAUCUUUUUAUUUUUUAUUUUUAAACAAUUUUCUCCUGUUAAAUUAUUUAUUUUUUUGUUGAGGGAUCAGUUUCAGCUAGCGGCAUUUGCAAGGUAAGAAAUGACGAUGAAAGUAAAAUUAGUUGGCAUACUGUUUUCUUUGAAGAAUGGAGAAGACUUGUUGAGCAAUGUUUUGUUUUGGUAACUUGUUUAAGUGGGAUUUUACUCUUUGUGAUCCUUUUUCUUUUUGUGCAAGUCAUUUGACAUGUUAUCGAGUGUAUAAAAAGUGUUAUUCUUUUAACUUUUUACCGUAUUUAGAAGUAUCUUGAAAGAAAUGGAAAAACCAAAAGCUUAACCCAGUUCAUAUAGGGCAUAGAAGAAAGGAAUUAGCAACAAAUUCGAAUAAUAUUUGAAUAACAAAGAACCAUAGUAUUUUACAAAAAUUCCUAAAAUCUCAUCAUCACAAUGACUAAGCUUCACUCACAAGCAAGCAAGAAAAUAGCUAUUAAAAGAUACUCACAAUCAAGUAACACAGCUAAAACUGAGGAAACAUCUUAUUCUUAACUUAUAGCUUUACUCAUCAACUAAGGCUUCCUCUGCAGCAGCUGCCAUCAACUCAUCAAACUUCUCUGACUUCCCCAGCAGUAUUUCAAUCUACAAUAUAAGAAAUUGCUGGCUUUCAGCCUCUUAUAUUAAGAUAAGUUCAACCAUUUCAUGAGAAUUAAUAUAAGAGAUCUAAAUGAUUAAAAAUGGAUGAAAGGAAUACAGAUGACUUUUACUAUAUAUUAACACCAUUCAAUAGCUGUGGGGAAAAAAAUGACAAAAUAAUGAAUUGAUGUUUCAUCCCAUUUUCUAACCUACCAAUUCACAGAAGUGUUAUGUAUUUAGUGUGAGCCAUGGGAUAAACUUAACUUAGAAGUAAAUUAUUACAUAUGUAUUUGCAACAUACUUUUGCUUUUUGUACUGGUCGUCCCCCUGAUUCCUCUCUCAUGUCAAUGGUAGAAGUCAUGAUUUCUGCCAUAUAAUGCAAACAUAUAUAAUAUAUCAUGAUACUAGUUUUGAGUUCUCAACAUGAGAUGAAAGCUAAAAGUAAUCUUGUUAAGGUAAGAAUCUUACUUUUCUCGACAGCCAGCCCGUUGUUCUUCAAUAUCUCAGCAAUGGUAACAACAGUAGCAAUAGCUGUCAGCAGCAUUUAAACCAAGUUGUAAAGAAAGACAGGAAAAAGCAAAGAAUCGGUACAUGUUUUUCCCAACAUUCUAAACUAAGAGUACUAAUCUGGCAUUGCAACAGUAGCAUAAAUUACAUGCCAUAAAUGACGUACACAUAGCAUGUAUGUAUGUAUGUCAAGGUAAUGUGUUGUAUUUCAACCUAUGUUUUAUAAAACAAAACGUUCACUUUGUUCCUUGUAAGGAAGCUAUCAAUGUAAAUGACAUAUUCAAAUCCCUCAAAAUCUAAACAGAAAACAAGGUGAAAUAGAAUGGAAGUGUGAAGAAAAGCAAAAAAAGAAUACCCAUUCCAAGAGCAGAGAGUUCCACCUCGUUGUAUUGCUGCAUAUACCUCUGCAAAAAAGGAGCAAAAUAAUCGUUUAAGCAACCAAUAAGAAUCUGUUUUGUUCAUUUUCUUUUUUGUUCUUAUAAUUCCCAUUUGGUUAAAUCAUGAUCAUAAACAUCCAGCAAAUCAAACAGAAAGCCGCAAAAAGUCCGAAUAGGAAAUCAAAUGAAAACCCUAACUUAUAAUAUUAAAGCUACUAUUAUUCAUUAACGACUAAAAACAGAAGACUGCUACAACUUUCGGAGCACGUCAAAAUGAUCACUGAGAGAAAAAUUGAGAAAAGAUAAAAAAAAAGGUGAAGGAACCUUGGCGAGGUUAACGUAGAAGAAAAGGGGUUUCUGGGUAUUGGAGACUUGGAUACGGUUCUUCUUGUUGUUGGAGGCAGAUGAAUCCACUCCCUCAGUAGUCCCCACCAUUUUUGUUGUUCAGAAAGAGAACAAAAACCCUAAACUGUUGAUCACCACGAAACACAAGGGGAGGGGGGAGAUUUGAUCUUUCAGGGCUCAAAAACCCUUGAAUUCAACCCCAUCUCACCACUACCCCUCCUCUUUUAUCGGGGUUUUCCAUGGUUUUCGAUAGAAUCGAUGAUUUGGUUUGGUUUCAAACAAUAUGAUACGUAUCAGUAUCAUAUGACGUUUAUUUUAUUUUAUCAUCUUUUUUUAAUUAAAUUGGUUUUACUUUACAAGUAACAUUAAAUAAUAGAAUUUUAUAUUGUAUUAUAUUAUUUAUAUUUACAUAUAAAUUUGCAUUAUUGUCUAUAUUUAUAUUUGAACCAAAUAUAUAUAUAUAUAUAUAUAUAUAUAUAUAUAAUUUUAACUGAGUUUUGUAUCCUGAUUGAGUUUUAUAUCAACUCAAUUAGUAAAAUACUUAAAAGAAAAAUAAAAAAUUCAAAAAAUUAUUUUUUAUACAAUUUUUAUAAUUUUUAUAUAAUAUUUUUUAUAAAUAAAUUAAAUCACCUCUUAAAAGAAUCAACCCUGCAAAAAAAAAGCCUGUUUUUGUUAUCAAUGUUAAAAAUAAAUCUAUUUUCAUAUUUCUUUUUACUAAAGUGUGGCUAUAAAUUAUUAUCUGAUAACUUAAAAAAUACUUGACUGACAAACAAAAUGUUAUGAUUAAACAUUUACAUUCUUGUUUAAAAAGAAAAGAAAAAACCGAAUUAUUACUGUGUUAUCACUUCAAACACAAUUAUGACAUUAAAAUAUAUCACAUACAAUAUAAAUACGCAUAUCUUUAUUAGUAAUCCACCGGCAGAAAGGUUUUCAGACAAUCCAAGGCAAAUUAGGUUGGCACAUUAUCUUCUUUAAAAUGUGCAUUCAAUGAUCAAACAUAAAAGCAGAAUCAGAGACUAGAUUUCACAACAUCAUUAAGAAAUAUCUUUGGAAAUUGGAACCCAAACUUAAUGAUAGUCUUUAUUCCAGUCUCAUAUGAAUGAUCAACUAAAACAAAAAUAAAAUAUGGACUCAAAAAAGAACAGUAACAAGUCCCUUUCAUGACAUUGGAUGAAUAAAUAUCUCUACAUAAUAAUGAAAAAAAUAUACCUAUAAAAUUACACAACACCAACAUCAAACUUCAUCAGCAAUACCAUGUAGAAGAAUAGAAGUGAACAAAAAGAUAAUAGGGUGGCUGGUCUUAGGUCCCCAUAAACUUAUAUCAUGCACAUGUAACGCUGCAACGUCUCUUUUUCCUUUGGUUAUAUACACAAUAUCCAACUUAGGGUUUACUGGAAUAAAAUAAUCCGGAAACGAAACUAACAGUUGAUGCCACAUUGACCAUUAGCAGCAGCUUUUGUAGCUUCUGAGGUGAAGGGGUCGAUACGCACCCACAGCAAUGAGAAGAUGGAAGCCAGAAGUAUAGACCACACGAUGACAAUUGUUGGGGUACGAUUUUGACGACCCACCAAACCUUUCAAGAAAGGAUACAAAUGAGCAAUCACCCAGAUGGCAAAGAAAAGCUUGCCAAAAAGAGGACCCCAGGAUUGGUAACCACUGUUUAUAGCAUACGACACGCCGGC
rnacentral:lncRNA from 1 species